rnacentral:lncRNA from 1 species
UCCAAGCCCUAGCUAGCCACAGCAUCUCGUUUGGUUUCCAAACUGGGCUUACAUACUUGCCUUUUCUGAACUGGGGGUGAAAUUGCUCACCCAGUAAUUCUGGCCUGUUUGUCUCUUGACCAGAAGCUGCUGAGAGAGAAGGAAUAGGUGAGUGAGGAGGAGAUGAUGCUGUGUCUGAAGAGGAAGCCGUGGUGGUAUGAGCUUGGCUUUGUGGGUUGGUUAUUGGGAGUGUGGUUGGUGAUGGGCUUGAUUCUGUGGUGAGUAUAGCCAUUUGGGCUUGUUGCUUUUGUUGUUGCUGUUGAGAUGGUGAUGGUAAAAGCUUCCAUUGGCUGCUAUUAUAUCGUUGCCUUUUGGGAUUUACUGGCUCAAAUUGUUGCUCAAAUGGAGAGGAAGAAGUUGGACCAAUAGGAACAUACAAAGGAGCAGAGAUGUACGGAGCUCCGGUGACCACAACUGCCGGCGGCUGUUGGUGAUGGUGCUGGCCUUUUUCAGUUGACUCCUCAAGUGGAUUUUUCGGGGAGGAUGAAAGUUGUUGCUGCUGAGGUUGCUGUUGCUGCUGCUGCAGCUGUUGAGGUUGUUGUGAUUUUUGCUUCUUGGUUGUAUCUCCUUUGUUGUCACCCAUCUCAAAAGGGUCCAAAAAAAAAACUUUGUUUUUGUGAAUAGAAAUUAAAAAAAGAACUGCUGUACCGUACAUCCGCCUUGGCCGUACAGCAGCAAAUUCUGGAUUGAGCAACAACUUUAAAUUCUCAAUAACCCCUCUGCCUUUACUUACUAAUAAUAUGUCGUCAACAUAUAAUAACAAGUACACAUAAACACCGCCUUUCAUUACUUUAAAGUAAACAAAACAAUCAUAAUUACAUUUUUUGAGCCCAUUUGACACCAUGAACUGAUCGAACCUUAGGUACUAUUGCCUUGGGAAUCGUUUUAACCAAUUCAAUGAUUUCUUUAAUAAGCAAACAUGAUCUUUCUAUUCAAAGUGUUUGUACCUUUCAGGUUGAUCUUUCUAUUCAAAGUGUUUCUUCUUCAAGUUUACCAUGUAAGAAGGCAGUCCUGACAUUAAGUUGAUCUAGCUCCAUGUCUUGAACUGCUGUUAAGCUCAAAAUCACCCUUAUAGAUGCAUGUUUGACCACAAGAGUAGUGAACCCACCAUUUCGGUCUCUUCUUCUUCAUCAUUUUUCUUCUCUUGUACUUUGCAUUCUUUCAUUCAGUUAUGAAUGUCUUAAAGAGAGAGUAAUGAGAUUAGCCACCGUCAAACCCAGAUUGUAUAGCUCGCUGACAUAUGGAUAACGACUUUACCGAACUCAGCUAAACUCCUAUCACAUGACUGCCGCGUGCAUCAAUUAAGUAAAAUGCCAAACGACUCAAACCGAGUACCAUUUUGAUGUUAACAAUUUACAAGUGAAUCAUGUAUUGUGUCUCGUGAUUUUUAACUACCAAAGCCACCCCAAAACACUUCUGUUUUAUUCUACUGAGUGUGAUUCACCAGUAACCUUCACAAUUUCUAGCUAGCCACAGCAUCUCGUUUGGUUUCCAAACUGGGCUUACAUACUUGCCUUUUCUGAACUGGGGGUGAAAUUGCUCACCCAGUAAUUCUGGCCUGUUUGUCUCUUGACCAGAAGCUGCUGAGAGAGAAGGAAUAGGUGAGUGAGGAGGAGAUGAUGCUGUGUCUGAAGAGGAAGCCGUGGUGGUAUGAGCUUGGCUUUGUGGGUUGGUUAUUGGGAGUGUGGUUGGUGAUGGGCUUGAUUCUGUGGUGAGUAUAGCCAUUUGGGCUUGUUGCUUUUGUUGUUGCUGUUGAGAUGGUGAUGGUAAAAGCUUCCAUUGGCUGCUAUUAUAUCGUUGCCUUUUGGGAUUUACUGGCUCAAAUUGUUGCUCAAAUGGAGAGGAAGAAGUUGGACCAAUAGGAACAUACAAAGGAGCAGAGAUGUACGGAGCUCCGGUGACCACAACUGCCGGCGGCUGUUGGUGAUGGUGCUGGCCUUUUUCAGUUGACUCCUCAAGUGGAUUUUUCGGGGAGGAUGAAAGUUGUUGCUGCUGAGGUUGCUGUUGCUGCUGCUGCAGCUGUUGAGGUUGUUGUGAUUUUUGCUUCUUGGUUGUAUCUCCUUUGUUGUCACCCAUCUCAAAAGGGUCCAAAAAAAAAACUUUGUUUUUGUGAAUAGAAAUUAAAAAAAGAACUGCUGUACCGUACAUCCGCCUUGGCCGUACAGCAGCAAAUUCUGGAUUGAGCAACAACUUUAAAUUCUCAAUAACCCCUCUGCCUUUACUUACUAAUAAUAUGUCGUCAACAUAUAAUAACAAGUACACAUAAACACCGCCUUUCAUUACUUUAAAGUAAACAAAACAAUCAUAAUUACAUUUUUUGAGCCCAUUUGACACCAUGAACUGAUCGAACCUUAGGUACUAUUGCCUUGGGAAUCGUUUUAACCAAUUCAAUGAUUUCUUUAAUAAGCAAACAUGAUCUUUCUAUUCAAAGUGUUUGUACCUUUCAGGUUGAUCUUUCUAUUCAAAGUGUUUCUUCUUCAAGUUUACCAUGUAAGAAGGCAGUCCUGACAUUAAGUUGAUCUAGCUCCAUGUCUUGAACUGCUGUUAAGCUCAAAAUCACCCUUAUAGAUGCAUGUUUGACCACAAGAGUAAAUACUUCCUUAAAAUCAACCCCUUCCUUUUGUGCAUACCCUUUUGCCAUUAACCUUGCCUUGAAUCUCUUGGUUCAAAUCCAGUCCAGCCUUCUUUCACUUUGAAGAUCCAUUUACAUCCAACCACUCUUUUGUUUGCAGGCCUCUUAACCAAUUCCAAAGUUUCAUUCUUAUACAGAGAAUUUAUUUCUUCCUCCAUAACUUUCUGUCAUUUAUUCUUAAAAGGACUCUGUACAGCUUCUUUAAAGGUCUUAGGUUUUUCAUCAUAACAUCAUGUGCAGCAACUAAAGCAAAAGCAAUCAGAUUUGCAUUACCAAACCUCUUAUGUGGCUUUAUAUGUCUUUUCUUCUUAUCCCUCGUAAGUUUAUAACUUUAUUCCUAAGGACAUAAUUCUGAUUGAAUUUUUUGUUUAGAUUCCUGAGUUCUAUCUGAAUUGAUACCACUAUCUUCAAAAUCUGCAGCUUCUUCAAUGUUCCUAUGAUUAGGUGGCUCCACUUCAAAUUCUAAUAUUUCAAAAGGCUUUAUAUUAUUGUUUGUUACUUCAACAGGCUACCUUUUGACUGCCAUUUCACUUCCAUUAAAGAUGAUAUCCCUGCUGAUUGUGCAUUACUUAGGAGGAUUUAGAUUAGUGCACCAUAUUUUAUAUCCUUUUACCUCUUUCGGAUAACCUAUUAACACCCCUUUAACUGCUGUUGGCAUAAGCCUCCCUUGAUUUACUUGAACAUAUGCUCUAAGCUUUUCAUACUUACUGGCUUACCAGCCUACAUUUCAAAAGGUAUCUAAAAGCUUAUAGUUGAUGAGACACUUAGAUUCACUGGAUAGGCUGCUAUCAUCAAUAUCUCUUAUGCAUAGUGACUUUGAUAGCUUAAAUUGAAUGAGCAUACAUCUUACCCUCUCCGUAAGUGUCUUAUUCAUCCUUCUAGCCAGCCAAUUUUUUUAGGUGUCAGCCUCACUGUUCUGUGUCUAGCUAUCUCCUAAUUUGCACAAUAGCUUUGAAACUGUUGAUUAGAAAACUCUAAGUUAUUAUCUAUCCUCAACUUCUUAACCUUCUUUCUUACUUGAUUUUCAACCAGACUUUUCCAUUCCUUAAAUUUUUCAAACACUUGAUCCUUAUUUUUCAAAACAUAGGUCUAGACUUUUCUUGAGAAGUUAUUAGUGAAGUUCACAAAGUAUUUGUUUCCACCGAAGGAUAGAUCUUAAGCUGGUCUUCAAAGGUCAUAGUGUAUAUAGUCUAGAAUAUUAUUUGACUUUAAGACGAAUCUAUUAAAGCUAGCUCUUUUAGAUUUCCUUAACACUUAGUCUUUACAGAAACCUAUACUUUCAAUCUUAUCCCCACCUAAUACACAUUGUCUUUCAAGUUCGUUGUGAUCCCUUUCAUUCAUAUCUCCUAGCCUAAGAUGCUAUAGUUUGGUUUUAUAAAUAUCACUAUCAAUAGAGAUUCUAGAUUCACCAACUAUUACUUCACUAUCCAGAAUAUAUACACUAUUCUUCCUAGUACCUUUCAUUUUAAUUUUAGAGCCAUUCAUUACCCUUAGGUUAUAUGAUUUAAGCCUCUUACUCUAGCCUAUUUGGUCAAACAUUCCUAGAGAAAUCAAAUUUCUUUCCAAAUUAGACAUCCCCCUCAUGAUUUAAUUGACAUUAAUAAGGAAUAUUUAGCCCAUGGUGCAUGUUGAUGCAGAUCCAGAUACCCAAGUGCUUCAUUUUAAUAGAAUUCACUUCAAUUUAUUCUCGCCAUUUCAAUUCAAAUUUUAGGAUAAUCUAAGUCACUCUCACCACAAAUCCAACCACCCUCAUAGAAAAUUAAUUCUACAUAUGAUUAAAAUCCACCUCCUUGUGGGAUCGACACUCGUCUCCAUUAAUCUAUUCCACAAUAGAUUCGUGCACUUGCGAGUUCAAUAAAUUUUGCACAAUAAGUUUUUGGCACCGUUGCCGGGGAGAUAAGUUAUUUCUGCUGUACCGUACCUCCGCCUUGGCCGUACAGCAGUUUAUUUUGUCUUUUAGCUAAUCCCUAACUUUAAUAAAGUCAGGGAUCCCUCAUUGGAAAAUUACUAUAUAUAUAUAUAUAGUCAUUCUCUAUUGAGGGCAUCCUGCACACUAAAAUACAAAAAAAAAAUAUAAAUUUUAUUACAUUGGGAAUUGUGUUUUAUUGUCUGUUGAUAACAUUCUCACUUUGUUAAAAUGAGAAUAUCUUCACCAUCGAAUUGUUAUUAUGUGUGAGUACAUGUCUAUGCAGUCUUUCGAAGAUGUGGUUGCUCUCAUUUUUUAACAAAGUUUUCAUAUGACUUAGGCAAGGAACUAACUAAAAGAAGAGCUUUACCCUCAUCAUCUAAUCCCUCAUCAAUUAUUUCCAAGGUAUAAUAUACCUAAUUGAAUUCAACUAUGCGUUGUUCAAGAGAUAAGCGCUCAACCAUUCUUGGAGUAAACAUCCAUUUUUUGAUGUAGAGUCUAUUUGCCAGGGUUUAGUCAUGUAAAGACUUUCAAAUUUGGCCAUAAGCCUACAACAGUCUUCUCCUUAGCCACCUGUCUAAUGAUAAAAUCACCAACAGUCUUCCUUGAAUCAUCAUUAAAUAUAUCAAAAGUGUUGAGUGUUAGAAAGUAUAUAUUUAUAAAGGAGAAAAUCAUCAUUUUACAUUUCAAGUCUUACUAACAUCCUUACUUUUAUGUAUUUAAGUUUCUUGUGAUUUAAUUAUGUGUGUUUUAUUUUAAUUAAGUAUUUUAUGUAUUUUAGGGGCAUAAUGGUCAUUUCACAAUGAACGAGAGAUCAGACAGUAAAACAGACAUCACUUUUGAACUCAGGACAGUCGAAAACCUUGAGAAGAGCAUAAAAGGAAAAAUGAUAUUAUUCACAUGUACAGUACUAUUCACAUGUACGGUACUGUCUACGUUACUGUUCACAACACUAAUCACAUAGACGAAUCGAUGAUGUGGCAUUGACCGAUGAUGUGUCAUGAUUCUAUUGGACUAAAAUUUUUAUGUACUAUUGAUCGGUGACGUGGCAGCAUAUCAGUGAACCAAAAAUUGUGCGUAUGGUACAUGCAUAUACACGGGAAUAUUUACAACCAAACCGCGUCACUGUUCAAACCACGUCACUAUUCAAACCGUGUACUGUUGACUAAUGACGUGGCGCAAUCCUAAGCUUCCGAAAUGUUUUUAAUCCGAUGGUCAUGAUUUACUUAAUGUAUCUAUAAAAAGCCCCCCCCCCCCAAAAUUNNNNNNNNNNNNUUCAAUUAUGAGUAGCUAAUUUUCUUUCAAGCUUGGGUUGAAGGUGAAGUCUCAACAUGUGCCAUGGUCUUUAUUUGGUAAAUUUACUUUCUCUUCCCCUAUAAUUAUUGUGGAUGUUUUGACUUUUCGUCGACAAAUACUAAUAAUCUUGUCUAGAUACCGCUCUGAUUUCACCGGCUCCCUAGUACAAGGUUAUUAUUAUUUGGCACGAUAAGCCCUUAGCACCAUAUUAAUUAGAGUGUGGUUAAUGAGAAGUGGAAAUCCCCCUCAUGAUUUAAUUGACAUUAAUAAGGAAUAUUUAGCCCAUGGUGCAUGUUGAUGCAGAUCCAGAUACCCAAGUGCUUCAUUUUAAUAGAAUUCACUUCAAUUUAUUCUCGCCAUUUCAAUUCAAAUUUUAGGAUAAUCUAAGUCACUCUCACCACAAAUCCAACCACCCUCAUAGAAAAUUAAUUCUACAUAUGAUUAAAAUCCACCUCCUUGUGGGAUCGACACUCGUCUCCAUUAAUCUAUUCCACAAUAGAUUCGUGCACUUGCGAGUUCAAUAAAUUUUGCACAAUAAGUUUUUGGCACCGUUGCCGGGGAGAUAAGUUAUUUUAAUUUGUAGAAUUAAUUUUUGUAAAUAAUUUUUUUAAUUGUUUUCUUGUAAUUUUUUUUAUAAAAAAAGAAAAAAAGUGAAUCUACAUUUAGAGGUAAGAAUUUCUUUUCUUUUUCUCUUCUUUAAAAUUCUGUAAUUUAAUUUUCAAGUUAUUUUUCUUUGCAAUUUUUCGUUUAUCUUAUUAAUUUAUUUUUAGUUAAUUUAUUUCACGUGUUUUUUAGUGUGUUUUUAUAGAAAGGUUGUAACAGCGUGAUAAAGUUAGUAUCGUAAUUUUCCUUCUUCUUUAUUUUUAUUUAUUUUGUUCCCAUUUUUGUUUUGUGUUCUUUGCAUGCAUGAUCGAAGGUCAUUAUUACCUAAUCUUGAGCUCAUAGACCUUGAACUUGAAAAAACACUUCGCACACACAAACAUGUUGCAAUUAAAAAUAAAAUUAAAAUGGAUUUGCAACAACAACAACAAGCACCACGGGAGAGGCCAUUUAAGGACUAUUUCAGUCCCUUAGCUAAUUUGAGCACAUCAUGUAUAAGAUACCAAAAUGUAGCUGCUAGGAGUUUUGAGUUAAAACCUAGUGUGCUAAAUUGUCUCCCAACAUUCUAUGGCCUAGAAAAUGAGGACCCAUAUAAUCAUUUGAAUGAUUUUCAUGCUGUUUGUCAAACUUUUAAAUAUGAGGAUUUUUCAAACGAUGAUGUUAAAUUUAGACUAUUCCCAUUUUCUUUAAAAGAUAGAGUUCGUUCAUGGCUCAAUACAUUGCCUGCUAAUAGCAUUACAUCAUGGGAACAAAUGGUAACAAAUUUUUGAAUAAAUAUUUCCCAGUACAUAAAACUAAUGUUAUUCGCAGGGAAAUUUCAGAGUUUACCCAGAGAGAAGACGAGCAGUUUUUCGAAACAUAAGAGUGUUUCAAUGGACUACUUUUGAAGUGUCCACAUCAUGGGUACAAGAAAUGGCACCAAUGCCAAUACUUUUUUGAUAGAUUAUUGCCGCAUGUGCAAGAAUGGUUAAUGGCAACAAGUGGAGGAGAGCUAAUGUCAAAAAGUGCAUCAGAGAUUUGGGAAUUUUUUUAGAGACAAGCAGAUAAUUCCCAACAACGGAGUCGAUCACUCAGGAGUACUAAAAGAAUUAAGGGAGUAAAUGAGGUUCACAUUGACGAGUCAAGUUCGGGAAUUAAAGAAGUCAAGGAGAUGGUUGAAGUUCUUUCUCGACAAAUAGCAUCCUUAACGACUGUUAAAUCAACAGAACCACAUGACCAUAGGUGUAAUGAGAAAACUAUCAAAUUACAACCCAUACUCCAACACAUAUAACCCUGGAUGGAGAAACCACCCCAAUUUUUCAUGGUCUCAAGGAUUCCAACAGAGUGGACCAGCAGCUCCAGCUCCAGCUCCACCAAUGCAACCAAUUCCUCAAGUUCCUCAAGCCUUUCAGCCACCAUUUAGACCAUACAAUCAGAACCAGAACUACUCUCAACCCAGACCAUGGGAGGAUGCAUUCCAAAAUUUCAGAAAUGUUACUCACUCCACGAUCGAACAACAUGGCGGAUGUACGGUACAGCAGGCUUCUUCAGUUCAGACUUUGGCAAUGACUGUUGAGAAAUGCAAGUUUCUAAGUCAACCAGUGCCUAAUCCUAAAGGAGUGCAUAAAGUAAGUACCAGUUCACCACAGCAGCACAGAGAGGUCAAAGCUGUCAUGACCUUAAGAAAAGGAAAAGAAGUCGACAACAAAGUAGAGAUGCCAGCGACAAAAGCAAAUUAAAUUAUACCUGUGAAUGUUGAGGACUCACCAUCGGAGGAGAAAGAAGGAAUCAACGCACGAGAAUACAUUCCUAAAGCUCCAUUUCCUCAGAGGUUAGCUAAAGGAAAGAAGGGAAAAUCCACAGGUGAGAUUUUUGAGAUCUUCAAACAGGUAAGUAUUAACAUCCCUUUACCUGAUGUUAUAAAAAAAGUGUCAUCUUAUGCCAAGUUUCUUAAAGACAUUUGUACUAAAAAGAGAAACAUGCACGUUCAAAAGAAGGCAUUUUUAACAGAAAACGUUAGUUCUAUACUCCAACACAAAAUUCCUCUAAAAUGCAAAGACUCAGGCUCCCCCAUUAUCUAAUGUAGUAUAAGGAACCACACAAUUGAGAAUGCUUUGUUGGAUUUAGGAGCUAGUGUAAAUCUGUUGCCUUAUUCAGUAUUUGUGAAACUUGGAUUGAAAGAAUUACACCCAACUCCAAUAGUGUUACAGCUUGCAGAUCGGUCCACGAAAAUACCUCGUGGUAUUGUGGAGGACGUGCUUAUCUAGGUAGACAAGUUUUAUUUUCCUGUUGAUUUCAUUGUAAUUGACACUCAACCAAUGCAGGAUUCAAGGAAGCAUAUCCCUAUUAUCCUAGACCGACCUUUCUUGGCAACUGUCGAUGCUCACAUUCAAUACAGGACAGGAAAUAUGCAGUUAUCCUUUGGUAACAUGACUAUGGAGCUAAACAUUUUCAACAUUGCCAAACAACCUCACAAUGCAGAUGAUGGAAUUGUUGAUAUGGAUUUAAUAGAAGCAUUAGUUGAUAAUACCUUUCUUUCAAACUUUAGUGAUGUUCCUUUAUGAACAUGUUUAACUCACUUUGGUUUUGAUUUUGAUAUUGACAGAUCAGUUGAUGAGGUCAAUGCCCUACUUGACUCAGCACCAUCCAUGGACACCAAUAAAUGGAAGUCACAAGUUGAACAACUAGCACCAUCAGAGAAUAAACUCAUCCCAUCAUCAGAAUUACCAUCGAAACUCGAGCUCAAACCAUUACCCAACACUUUGGAAUAUGCAUUUUUGGGAGAAGAAAGUGCCAUGUCGGUAAUCAUCUCAUCAUCCCUAAAUGACGAACAAAAAGGUAAGUUGUUGGAUAUUUUAAAAGAGCACAAAGGAGCAUUAGGAUGGACCAUAGCCGACAUAAAAGGUAUAAACCCAGUAGACUGCAUGCAUUACAUUCACCUUGAUGAAAAUGUUAAACCUACUAGGGAAAUGAAACAUCAGUUAAAUCCUAACAUGAAAGAAGUUGUUAGAACUGAAGUCCUUAUGCUAUUAGAUGCAUGUAUCAUUUACCCAAUUUCUGAUAGUUCAUGGGCCAGUCAUGUGCAAGUUGUCCCUAAAAAGUCAGGAGUCACAGUAGUUACCAAUACUGAUAAUGAAUUGAUACCCACUAGAGUGACUACAGGAUGGCGUGUAUGUAUUGAUUAUAGAAAGUUGAAUUCUGUCACACGUAAAGACCAUUUUCCUUUACUAUUUAUCGAUCAAAUGCUUGAUAGAUUAGCAGGUCAUGAAUUUUAUUGCUUUCUAGAUGGCUACUCAGGAUACAAUUAGAUCCCCAUAGCACCAAAAGAUCAAGAGAAAACCAUUUUCACUUGUCCUUUUGGCACUUUUGCAUAAAGGAGAAUGUCAUUUGGAUUAUGUAAUGUACCUGCUACAUUUCAAUGAUGCAUGUUAACCAUUUUUUCUGAUAUGGUUGAACGAUUCCUUGAAGUCUUUAUGGAUGACUUUUCUGUAUUUGGUGACUCAUUUGAUCAAUGUUUACAUCAUCUAACACUAGUUCUGUAGAGAUGUAUCGAGAAAAACUUAGUCUUAAAUUGGGAGAAGUGUCAUUUUAUGGUAAAACAAGGUAUUGUUCUCGGUCACAUCAUUUUGAGCAAAUGUAUUGAGGUUGAUAAAGCCAAGGUGGAUCUCAUUUCCAAUCUUCCUCCGCCUAAAAUAGUCAGAGAAGUAAGAUCUUUCCUUGGGCAUGCUGGUUUUUAUUGACGUUUCAUUAAGGAUUUUAGCAAAGUUUCUAGACCCUUAUGCAAUUUACUUGCUAAGGAUGUACCUUUUGUCUUUAAUAAUUCAUGUCUUGUGGCAUUUGAAAAACUAAAGCAGUUGUUGACAUCAUCACCCAUCAUUCAGCCCCCAAAUUGGAGCUUACCAUACGAGCUCAUGUGUGAUGCAUAUGAUUAUGUAGUAGGAGCAGUAUUAGGACAAAGAGUUGAUCGAAUUCCCCAUGUCAUUUACUACGCUAGUACGACAUUGAAUGAUGCAUAGUUGAACUAUUCAACUAUUGAAAAAGAAAUGCUAGCAGUAGUGUUUGCAUUAGAAAAAUUUUGAUCUUAUCUUAUUGGUUGUAAAAUAAUUGUAUUAACAGAUCAUGCUGCUCUUAAAUAUCUUCUCACAAAGAAAUAUGCAAAAGCUAGGCUAAUUCGUUGGGUGUUACUUUUACAGGAAUUCGACAUGGAAUUUAAAGAUAAGAAAGGCAUAGAAAAUGUUGUGGCUGACCAUCUCUCUCGUCUCCAUUUUGACACAAUUAUAGAACCAUUAAUAUUGAAUGAGUCAUUUCCCGAUGAACAAUUAAUGAGUGUGGAAAUAUUACCAUGGUAUGUAGAUAUCGUUAAUUAUCUUAUUACAGGUCAACUUCCAGAGCAUUGGACCAAGCAAGACGAGGCCAAAUUUUUUACAGAAAUAAAGAAUUUCUUUUGGGAUGACCCUUAUCUGUUCAAGUAUUGUGCAGAUCAAAUUGUUAGACGAUGUGUCCCAAAAAGUGAAAUUGAGACUAUUCUUUCAUUCUGCCAUGAACAAGCUUGUGGAGGCCAUUUCAGUACUAAGAAAACAACAACUAAAGUUUUACAAUGUGGUUUCUAUUGGCCAACUAUAUUUUGAGAUGCUUACACUUUUUGUUCCUCAUGUGAUAGGUGUCAAUGAAUGGGGAGCAUUACACGAAGGAAUAUGAUGUUACUAAAUCCAAUUUUAGUGGUUGAUAUUUUUUAUGUAUGGGGUAUCGACUUCAUGGGACCCUUUCCUUCCUUCUUUUGGCCAUUAAUACAUAUUGGUUGCUGUUGACUACGCAUCGAAAUGGGUAGAAGCAAUUCCAUGUAGAACCAAUGAUCACAAGGUGGUGAUAGGAUUUUUGAAAAGCAACAUUGUUUCACGCUUUGGAUUCCCUUGAGCAAUAAUCAGUGAUGGUGGUGCCCACUUUUGUAACAAAGCAUUCAAAACUCUUUUGACAAAGUAUUCCAUCACUCACAAAGUGGCAACCCCAUAUCAUCCACAAACUAAUGGCCAAGUUGAGAUCUCCAAUCGAGAAAUAAAGCAUAUAUUUGAAAAACGGUGAGGCCAGACUGAAAAGAUUGGUCAUUAAGACUCGAUGAUGCAUUAUGGGCAUAUAGAACGACUUUCAAGACCCUGAUUGGGAUGUCACCCUACAGGUUAGUAUAUAGAAAAGCUUGCCACCUACCUAUGGAACUCGAGCAUCGUGCAUACUGGGCCAUCAAGAAAUUUAACUUUGACGUGCAGCAAGCUAGCUCAGAAAGAAGAUUACAGUUGGCAGAACUUGAAGAAAUUCGCAAUGAUGAAUACGAAAAUGCCAAGAUUUACAAGCAGCGAAUGAAAGUCUUUCAUGACAAGUAAAUUAUGAGAAAAUCUUUCCCUCCAGGUCAGAAUGUGCUUUUAUUCAAUUUUCACUAGCACAUAUUCCCAGGUAAGUUAUGCUCUCGAUGGUUUGGCCUUUUUAUUGUUCACAUUAUUUUUUCACAUGGGGCAAUUGAAAUUAAGGACCCAAAGAAUGGUGUCACGUUUAAAGUUAAUGGUCAAAGAUUAAAGCCAUAUCUAGAGUACCAACCACAUGGAGAGGACAUCGAAAUAAAUUUGAGUGACCCGCCAGAUUUCAAUUGAGAUGUUUCUUUCUUUUCAGUGCUUUGAUUUUUUUUCUUUUCUUUCUUUUUACUAUUCUUUUGCUAAUUGAAAUUAUUUUUGCAUAAGUGUGUUUGUUUAACCAUUAAGUUUUCUCUUAUUAUUGUUAAUCAUGAGUGCCGCAGCUAAACAACUCCUCCUGAACAUUCUUAGACAACUUCAACGUGUAAAAUCUCAUCUCAAAAGGCAGAUUCGAUUUUGUAAAACACAUCAUAUUUGGGCUUUACAACCACCAGAGUUAGUAUCCCAUGUUGAUGAUUUAAAACGCCAACUCAGAGACAUUGAGGGAGGUGUCUACAACAUCCAAUUAGAGCUUGAGGUAAAUUCAAUAAGAGGACGAUUAUAAUUUUCUUUGUGUGGUUUAGCUUGUUUCUUUGUUUGUGUCCUUUAGUUUGUUACCCCGGUGAAGUGGCGGAUAACGAUACUCCGUGACAAUCAAGUCGGUUACUUCAGUUUCCCAUAAUAACUGAUAUUCUGAGACGAAGGUAUGGACAAAAAUGAGAUUUUAGCAAAGCUUCACAAUCGAUUCCCUUUACUUCCUCAGAAUGCCCUCCUUACAAUCCAUAAAGUUCGGUCCGAACGCAUGCAAUUGCUCAUGAGGAAUAACAUACAUGUUGACAUCCACUGGUUAAUCGAGGCCAAAGUACGAUUGGCAGGUGAGUUGCCUCCUAAAUUUAUUGCAUACAUGCCUGGUUGUGGUAAAGGAAAUUAUGCAAGAAAAUAAAGAGCUCGAAGAAUUUCUGUUGCUUGUCAUAAGUGUGCCAGAAUGAGAUGAGAUAAAAAACCAUGUUCUUUAGGAAUGUUGUCUGAUAACAGGGAAGAUAAGAUUCAAUUCAUUAGGGAUGACUUGAACAAGGAGUCAUUAGAUGAUAUCCUUUUGUCUCUUGAAACGCAUCCGAAUGGAUAUGUACAAGGGACGAUUCUCCAGUUAUAGCAAUUAUUCCAGAAAGAGCAUGCACGAUAUAGUCUCGGGAAUCUGACUAUAAACGACCUUGUUUGGCAGUUUAUAAGAAAACUGGAUGGGAAACCUAUCAUCGACCCAUAGAGGGCGUUCAAGCCGUUUCUAGACGUAAAAUCAGAGGAAGAUAUGAGCUACAGUCAUAACUACCUGUAAAUAUUCUUUUACUUCACUGUUGUUUUAUUUCACUGUUGUUUUAUGAUUUGCAUUAUUGUCUUUAAUAAUUUUAUUUUAUCAUUUUUUUCCUUUUUACUGUUUGCUUUUUUACUAUCGAGCCAUGUGUUUUACGCGUUAAUUAACAUUGACAUGCUACCUCAUACACAGUUGUGACCCACUGUCACAAAGAUUCUUAAAUAUGAUUUUUUGUCCAGCACUCACAAAUUGUUUUUUAGAAGUAUCCUAAUGGCAGCUACUCCUAAUAAACAAUUCAAGAACAUUUGUGUGCUUUCUGGAUUUAACUAUGGCAAACAUAAAGAGUUCGUUGAGGCAACCGUAGAUCUUGGUCGAAGCAUAGUAGAGAGAAAACUUCACUUGGUGUAUGGAGGAGGUAACUUAGGGUUAUCAAAAUUGGUCUCAGAAGUUGCUUUUGUCAGAGGAAGCCAAAUGUUAGGCUUCAUCCCAAGAGCCCUAAAACCUUUGGGCAGUUUGUCUGACUCACCGACUGGAGGAGAGUUAGUCGUCUCAGGUAUGUAAGAAAGAAUAACUGAAAUGCUUAAUCAUGCUGAUGCUUUUAUUUUCCUUCUAGGAGAUCUUGCAACUCUAUAGGCACUUAUCACAUUAGCAUCUUAGGCCCUUCUGUACAUUUACCAGAAAUCCAUGAGUUUGUUUUAUGUCAAUAACUUUUACGAUGGCUUCAUCGCAUUUCUUAACCAUGCAAUAAAAAACUAUUUCAUUCCUUCCACAGCAAAAAAACUUUUUAUUUGUGCUCACACUGCUAAUGAGCUACUUGAUCUGUCACAAGCUUAUAGACCAGAGCCAUACCCCAAGACUUUUGUGUUGGAGUCUCCAAAUAAUGAUGGUGACAGUAGCAGCAGUAAGAAGUACAAAUUAUAUUUAACUCUCCGCUUGUAAAUAUUUUCUUCUGUGUUGCACCACCCAGGUGAUGUCUUCUAAACUCUACUCAUUUCCUUUAAAAUAUUGAGCACAAUAUUUCGUUCUGGUUGGGGGGAGAGAAUAGUUGACAAUUGCGGAAUCUUGGUUAAGUUUUUACUAAUUUUUUGUUGUACAGACUAACCGUGGCUAACCUUUUGUGUUGAAGAUGGCUGAAUAUGUAUUGUAGUUAUUCUAGAAAUGCAUCUUCUUCGUUUUAAAAAAAACCAAAAAUAAAAAAUAAAAAAAAUUCAAAACAUUUUCUUUUUCUUUAUUAAGCUUUAACAAUCAUUUUUUUUAACUUCUUCUUAUUAAUUUCUCCUUUAUAAAUAUACACUUUUAAAUUUUUGAGUCGAAGAUGGCUAAAUAUUGAGUGUAGUUCCUCUAGAAACGCAUCUUCUUAGUUUAAAAAAAAAAUCAUUUUCUUUUUCUAUCAUUUUAAGUGUAACUUUUCUAAUUAGCUUUUCUGCAUCAUUUUCACAUUUCUGCAUGCAUAUUUUCUUUUCAUGUUUAGAAUAGGUUGGGGGGUAGAAUGUCAUUUGAAAAAAAAAAUUGUGUGAUUUUUUUAUAACAUUAGAUGACAUGAUGACUUUCAAAUUUUAGUAUUUGUAUUAUCUUUGGUCUUAAGCGAUGUUACGCCAUGUUUGCUACUCUACAUGUUGAUGUCGGAGACAAAUAUGAGUUGCUUGAAGGAAUGCACAUGUUAUAAUGAAUACCAAGUGAGUGUUUUUGAGCCUGUCAUUUUUCUUGGAGAGUAAUCCUUUUUGCCCAUUCUUCAUACAACUUAGUAGUUUAUUAUUUUAUAUACGAUCUCUAGAUUUUCUUUGAGUCAAUCCUAAAAAAAAAGUUAAAUAAAAUAAAAAAAAGAAAAAAAAUGUGUGUUGCUACAUCUGAAGAUCCAUCUAACUAGUAGAUAUGGAAGAUUAUCUAGAGCCCUAAAAGACGAUGGAAAUGUCAUCUUUGACCCGUUUGAGCCUUUCUAGCCAUCCCUUUUGUGAAAUAUCCAUAGUUAACCCUUUUGAGCCUUAAAAAAAAAAAAAACUUUUCUUUGUCAAACUUAUCAUCUUGACCCACUCUGAUUUGGAGUAUUACCCGAUAUCUUACAAGUUCCAUCACCUAUUUAUAUUUGAGAAAAAUGUAAUUAAUUAUUUUGUUAAGUGAAGUUGUGCCAAACAAAAGUAAAAAAAAAAACAACAAAAAUUUUUAUUGUUUCAAAAAAAAGAAAAAAAUAAUAAUAAUAAAUAAGAAAAAUGCAUCUUGUAAUUUCCAAAAUAUCUCUACUUUUUUUUGUUUUUCCUAUUUUCCUUCAUUUGUUAGCCAUGUCCCUAGCCUAUGUUACAUCCUAAUAAAAGUCCUUCCUGAUUUUAGGGAGCUAUAGUCUGAAGUAGAAGCUAGUAAUAUAGGCUAAAAAGAUGUAGUGGUGCAUAAAAUAAAUAAAUAAAUAAAUAAAUUGGGUUGACUAGCAUUUCUGUUUGACUUAAGAUUGUAUUAUUUUUCUAAGCUGUGGCCAUAUUUCUUUCAUCUUAGUGAGAGCAUGUGAUAUUACUUCUUUAUUAUUUUCUCUCAAUUACCAUUCAUUGGAGUGACUAUUUUUAUUGGGUUUAAUUUCUUUGUGAGAGUGUCACUACUACUAGUGAGAUUUUGGGGUUAGACAUGUCAUUCUUGAAAGUAGUUUUGACAAAGUCUGUUGGACUGAUGCAUGUGGAUGGUUGAUCUGGGAGUGAUAUUUCUUUAGACUGGAGAUAAUGCUUAUACUUUUAUUUGAUUGCUAUAAUUAAUCUGAUUGAAUAAACACGAUUGUUUAAAAAAAAAAUCAUUUUGAGUUUGAAUUUUGUUUUCGCUUUAUUUGCAAGUGACUAGCAAUAAGCUGAUGCACAAUGGGGAUAUGAACAAUUCAACUCAAAAUGUUUGAUGGAUUAGUCAGAUAACUAAAAGAGGUUAGAUAUGUUCCAGCUUUAAAGAAAAAUCCACUACAAAAAAACAGACAAUAGAUGACGGAAAAUAACUGUCAUAAAAGGGGGUGCAUAACAAACAGUUUAUAUGUAAUCUAUGUCACUAUCAUUAAUUUAUGACAGAAUAUUUUCCGUCAUUAAUUCAUGAUGGUUUUUCACAGUCAUAUAUCUGUCAUACAAUAUUUUAAUAUAAAAAUAAUUAAAUAAAAUUUAAAUUUAUUUACGCACCUUUUUAAAAAAAAAAUUGGCGGAAAAUUGAAUAAUCAUUUGUAAAUUUAUUAUUCAAUUUUGACAAUAAAUUAUUUAUGACAAAAUAUAUGAUGACUAUUUCCCGUCAUAAAGUUUUGAUUUUUUUUUUAAAAUAUUACAAUUAUAAUUUGUUGAUGAAUUCCUAUUUAAUUUCAUAAAAGAACCAAUAAAAUAAUAUUAAUUAACAUCCAUUCAAUCCAACAAACUAAUUUCAAAAUAAAUACAUCUAAUAUUCAAUUAGAUCACCAUUAAUAAAUAAUAAAAUAUCCCAAAUUAAAAAAACCAUCCCAAAGUAUAAAAAAAAGGUUAAAUUCUAAUCAUCCUCCAAGAAAAGCAAUUAAAAUUCCAGCCACCAAGCCAAGUUACUUAACAAAACUUCCAAAGAUUAAUUCAAGUAUUCCAACAACAAGACUUGGAUUAAUUCAAGUAUUCCAACAUUAAGACUUGCAGUAAAACUUCCAGCAGCAAUCCAAUCUUCCAAGAGCACUCUAAUUCCAGCCACAUACCCUGCAACACUCUAUUAGUCCAACUCUUAUGCAACAACCUGGCAUCUUCCAGCUGCACUUUAAUUCCAUCCAUAUACACAGCAACACUCCAACCUAUAUCCAGUAACCCAAUCUAUGCAGAAUCAAUCAAAAUACUCUGUUAGUAGCAGAAAAGCCGUAACGACCAUUGAACGAAUGUCAAUAUCAUGUUUACCAAAAUAUGAGUUAUGAUAAUAAUAUUUUAAGUACAAACAUUUCAGCAUGUAGGCCCGUGAAAAAAGAUCAAAUAUAAAUGUUUGUGAUUGGAACUUCAAAUUUAAAAAUAUUAUUGGAUCUUGAAUAUCAUUAUCAGAAAUUCUACAUUAAGGUAUAAACCCAAAAAAAAAAAACAUUAAUGCAUUCACUCGGGAAUAUAAAUAUUAGUUUGGCUAUGAUAAAUAAUUGUUAAGAGAUAUACGAUUGCCACAGAAAAGAUAUUCAAAUCCAACAAACUGAGAUAAAAGUACCCCAAUUUCCAAUGCAUAGAACAUAACUUUCCAGACUGGCCAUUCAAUAUUCGAAUGCCAAAGCAAAUUACGAAUUGUUGGUGAUUUCAUAUGAAACCUCUAGUGGCAAACCAAAAUAAAAAAAAGAAGGGAUCAUGCAAGGAAAAAUGUUAAAAAGCUCUCAUGAUACCACAAAGUAAAAAGCAAAAUCACCAGCCAUGUCAAGUCCAAGAGCACUAAUCAUGUAAGGCUUAGCUCCAAGCUUUGACAUGCACUCUGCAACAUUCCUUGCUACACCACCUAACACAUAAUUCACCUGCAUAAAGAAGCACCCUCUAAUGUAAGUAAAUAUCAGAAAACAAAAUCCAUAACAUACCACGAAUUCUGAUAUUUUCCCAAAAUACCUAAUGGUGAACACACUUCUUAAAGCUACAUUUCAAGAACUAACACAAUUCUAACAAGAAAUUGCAAACACUCAUCAAAAUCUUUUUUUUUUUAAAAGGUGGGACUAAAAUCUUUUUUAGAAAACAAAAAAAUGGGUAUAAUUGUACCUUGCCUGGUGUAGUGGUUUUUGGGUUUGCAGGGAUCGAUGGAGUGGCAUGAAUGUCCAAAACCAUGCCUCCUAUGAUCACUGGCUCUACUGCUUCUUGUUUUUGCAACUGCCUGCUUGUUAACAAAACCUUUUAUACAACAAAGAUGUAUUAGAAUUAAAAGAAAAAUAAUAUAACCUAAAAAUGGAAAGAAUAUUACAGUUUAGACAAGGCUACCUUAUGAAGAACGAGUUUAGCUUUACAUGGCUGUUGCAAAAGGUAGCGAAAGACUGCAUUCAAUCGCUCUUGAACACUGCUGCUGUCCAUUUUGCUUCCAACACUUUUGAGUGCAGCACUUGUUUGCGCUGACUAAAGAGUUUCUUGCGUUGUUUAGUUUUGGGUUGGGCAUGAACGAUUUCUUCUUCAUUUGGUUCAUCACCAUGAAAAAGUCUCUUGUCCAUUGACCAUUGACAUCAACUUCAAGAUCACAGCAAACUGCCAUGACUCCUCCAAUGAACAAACCCUCCUCAAAUCAAGCGUCCUUUUUUCUUUUUUUGGGAAUUAGUAUAAGAUUAAAAAAAGGAACAAGAUGGAUGUUUUUAACAACCCAACAGAGACAAGGAUGCUAGGAGGCCAAGUAGGAAAUGAGGAGGAGCAAAGAGGGAGAAAGUCAUCAUAUUCUAGGAGAAAAUCAAAGGUUCACAAACAAAGAUAAUAGUAUAAUUUUAUUAAAAAAAUUAAAUCUUUUUCAGAAUGAAACACAAAAUUGAAAACAUAGAUGAAUGUAUAGCUAUACUAAUGAAAUCUAAAUUAUUAAUUCAAAACUAAAACAUAAUAAAAAGGAAAUAAAAAAGUGAAGAAAUGUUACCUAGGCUCAAAACUUUAGCUCAUGUUCCAGCCACCACACAAUAGCCACUGUCGCCACUGCUUUUAAUCUUUAUGUCGAUCUCCACCACCAUCAGAACCAUAAAGACCCGCCCAUCAAAUCCCAGCCGUAAAUACCACCGAUUUGCUGCAAGAAUCACCAAACAUGACUACCAAACAGCAGCAAAACCUCCACCAUUGUUAACUAUCUUCUAGUGCGAUUCACCAGCCACCACCAACAACACAUUACUCGUCAUUAGCUGUAUCUAUCUGGUUACCUCCCUCUUCCAGCCCCUUCCCUUUUCGUUGGAAUUGAAGCCAAAAAUCAACACUGGCUCUUUCGUAAUUUUCAAUCAAAUGCUCGCGAAUCGAAGAGAACCUUUAGCAGGAUGUCGACUUGUGGCCUAUGGGUGGGAUUCGAAGGUCGACUCUUUUACUUAGGUUAAUUGGUUGUGAAUGUAGGAAUUUUGUUUGAUUGUGAGUGAGGAGGGUUUGAGCUUCUAGGGUUUCAAUUUCUUAGGUUGAGAGAGGGAGUGAUGAAUGUGUUGAGUGAGGUUUUUUAACUUAGAAUAUUUUGUAGUGUUUUGCUAAAACUCACCGUUUCAAUUCCUUCAUUUAAUUUUUUUACAUCAUUUAGAUUAUUAAUAAAAUUAUAACGCACUGUUUUCUUUUUCUUUCAAUAAAAUAUCACACCAAAAUUUUGGUCAAAUACAGUCAAAUUAAUAUUUCUAUCAUAAUUUUUUGAUAGAAAAAAUUUCAAUCACAAUUCUAUCAUAAAUUCUUGAUAGACAAUAAUUCUAUCACAAAUCCAUUAUCAAUUGAUGACAAACCAAAAUUCUAUCAUAACUCGGUCAUAUUAUAAUGAUAGAAGUUAAAUCCGUCAUAAAUUGUCUGUCAUCUAUUGCCAGUUUUCUUGUAGUGAUCUAAUUUAUGUAGGUGCUCUAGAGGCUAAAUGUUACAAGGUUACUAUGAAAAUGGCACAAUGAAGUUCACGUAUGGGGCUAUGGUAAUUUUGCAAAGGGUUCAACAUCACAAUCUGUACUAUUUGAAGGGAGGUACAACUGAUGAAGCAAAUGUUGCUGAGGCGCACAGUGACACCACCAAGCUAUGACAUAUACGUCUGGGACAUGCUGGAGAGAAUUCUUUGCAAACUUUGAUGAGGCAUGAACUCUUAAAAGAUACCAAAACCUAUAAAUUUAAGUUCUCUAAGCACUGUGUAGUAGGCAAGAAAACAAGGGUCAAAUUUGGUAUCGCUAAUCACGAUACUUGUGAGAUCCUUGAAUAUGUUGACAGUGAUGUAUGGGGACCAACUAAGACUGCAUCAAUUAGUGGAAGCCAUUAUUUUGUGACAUUUGUUGAUGAUUUCUCUAUAUGUGUGCGGGUGUACACCAUGCGAGCGAAGGAUGAGGUUCUAGAGAUUUUCGUGAAAUGGAAGAAAUUGGUGGAGACUCAAACUAGAAAAAAGAUCAAAGUAUUACGAUCUGAUAAUAGGGGUGAAUAUACUUAUGAUCCAUUUUUACAAGUAUGCCAGAGUGAGGGCAUAAAAAGAUAUUUCAUGGUAAGACAUACUCCGCAACAGAAUGGUGUGGCUAAGCGUAUGAAUCAUACUUUGCUGGAGAAAGUACUGUGUAUGUUAUCUAAUGCUGAUUUAGAUAAAAAGUUUUGGGCUGAGGCUAUAAACUACGCAAGUAACUUGAUAAACCAGUUGCCUUCUGCUGCAAUUGGAGGUAAAACUCCUAUGGAAAUGUGGUAUGGAAAGCAUGCAUAAGAUUAUGACUCCAUUCAUCUGUUAGCUUAUUAUCAUGUAAAGAAUGAUAAGCUCGAUCCUCGUGCAAGAAAAUCAAUCUUUGUGGGAUUCAAAGGUGGAGUAAAAUGCUUCAAACUUUGGGAUCUCGAAAAUAAAAAGUUUGUGUAUAGCAGAGAUGUCACUUUUGAUGAAGCCUCUAUGUUGAAGGCUUCAAGUUCUCAGCAGGUGGAGAACAAGACUAAUGAGACAUUGCAGCAGGUGGAGUUUGAUGUAACUCCAUAUGUACUAGUUAGUUCUACAUCAGAAAAGAAUUCAACUUUGGAAGUGACACCAAGAGUUGAAGAAUAUGUUGUUUUUGUUGAUGUCCCACAUGAUGAAGAAACAACUGAGGAUGUAGAAGAUAAAAAUGAGUCUAUAGCAACAAGGAGACCAAAAAGAGUGAUAAAAACAUGGUGGUAGCUUAUGAACCUCUAGUUAUUGAUGAUGACAUCCCCAACACUUUCGGUAAAGCAUUACGUAGCAGUGAAAGUGAUCAGUGGAAGUUAGCUGUUGAGUGCUAGAAAGUCUAUAUUUAUAAAUGAGAAAAUCGUCAUUUUACACUUCAAGUUUCACUAACAUCCCUACUUUUAUGUGUUUAAGUCUCUUAUAAUUUAAUUAUGUUUGUUGUAUUAUAACUAAGUAUUUCAUGUAUUUUAGGGGCAUUAUGGUCAUUUCACGAUGAACGAGAGAUCAGACAGAAAAAUAGACAGCAAAAUAGACAUCACUUUUAAACUCACGACAGUCGAAAACUUUAGGAGGAGUAUAAAACGAAAAAUGGCAUUGUUCAUAUGUACGGUACUGUCCAUGUUACUGUUCACGACACUGGUCACAUAUACGGAAUGAUGACGUGGCACUGACCGAUGAUGUGGCAUUAACUGAUGAGGUGUCACGAUUCUAUUGGACUAAAAUUCUUAUGUAUUGUUGAUCGGUUAUGUGGCAGCAUGUUAGUGGACCAAAAAUAGUGUGUAAGGUACAUGCAUAUACACGAAAUUUUUUACAACCAAACCGCGUCACUAUUCAAGUUGCCUCACUGUUCAUACCGCGUAACUAUUCAAACCGCAUGGUCAAACCACGUACUGUUGACCGAUGACAUGGCGCAAUCCUGAGCGUCCAAAUUAUUUUUAAUCUGAUGGCUAUGAUUUACUCAAUGUAUCUAUAAAAAAGGGGCUCUCCCCCCUAAUUUGAUACCCCUGAAUUCAUUUUUGAACUCUAUUUUCUGUAAAUCCUUCUCCAUCUUGUAUUUUCUACGUAUUUUAAUAAAUUCCCAUUUUACCUUUAUUUCAAUUAUGAGUAGCUAAUUUUCUUUCAAGCUUGGGUUGAAGGUGAAGUCUCAACAUGUUCUAUAGGCUUUAUUUGGUAAAUUUAUUUUCUCUUCCCCUCUGAUUUUUGUGGAUGUUUUGACUUUUCGUCGACAGAUAGUAAUAAUCUUGUCUAGAUACCGUACUGGUUUAACCGGCUCCCUAGUGCAUGGUUAUUACUAUUUGACACGAUAAGCCCUUAGUACCAUAUUAAUUAGAGUGUGGUUCAUGAGGAGUAGAAAUCCCCCUCAUGAUUUAAUUAACAAUAAUAAUGAAUAUUUAGUCCAUGGUGCAUGUUGAUGCAGAUCCAGAUACACAAGUGCUUCAAUUAUAAUAGUUUCCACUUUAAUUUUAUUCCUUCAUUCCAAUUUAAAUUCUAGGAUAGUCUAAAUCAUUUUCACCACAAAUCCAACCACCCUCACAGAAAAUUAACUCUAUGCAUAAUUAAAAUCCACCUCCUUGUGGGAUCGACAUUCGUCACCAUUAAUCUAUUCUAUAAUAGAUUCGUGCACUUGCAAGUUCAAUAAAAUUUGCACAACAUUAGUCAUAAAGGAAGAGAUGAAAUCUCUCCAUCAAAACCGGACUUGGGAACUUGUAGAGUUACCAAAGGGGAAAAAGACUAUUGACAAUAAAUGGGUCUACACCAGGAAGGAAGGAUCUCCAAAUCAAUCAACUCUCCGAUACAAGGUAAGGAUCGUUGCAAAAGGUUUUGCUCAGAAGGAAGGUAUUGACUACAAUGAAGUUUUCUCUCCAUUCGUAAAACAUACUUUUAUUUGUAUCCUACUCGCCUUAAUAGCUGAAUAUGAGUCAGAGUUGGCUAAAUUGGAUGUUAAGACGGUGUUCUUGCUUGAAGAUUUGGAGGAGGAAAUCUAUAUGACUGAGUCUUGUGGUUUCAAAGUUGCUGGAAAGGAGAAUCAUGUUUGUAGAUUGAUUAAAUCUUUGUACGGACUGAAACAAUCACUAAGGCUGUGGUAUAAAAGAUUUGAUCAAUUCAUUCAAGGGCAGAAAUUCACAAGAAGUGAACACGGUCAUUGUGUUUACUUUAGAAGACUACAAGAUGGAGCUUUCAUCUAUCUGUUACUCUAUGUCGACGAUAUGGUUAUAGCUUCAAAGAACAAAGGUGAGAUUGAGAGAUUAAAGAAGCAGCUGGCUUUUGAGUUUGAGAUGAAAAACUUAGGUGAUGCAAAGACAAUACUUGGGAUGGAGAUUCAUAGAGACAAGAGGAAUGGGAGCGUGUGGUUGACUCAAAAAUCUUAUUUGAAAAAUGUUCUAGAAAAGUUUGGUAUGAAUGACAAAACCAAAUCGGUUUCUACUCCUCUAACUCCUCAUUUCAAAUUAAGCUCUUCCUCAUGUCCUUCUUCUCAAGAGGAGCACGACUACAUGGCUCGUGUUCCAUAUGCUAGUGUUGUGGAUAGUCUUUAUGUAUGCUAUGGUAUGUACAAGGCCCGUUAUAUCUUAAGCUGUGAGUAUGGUUAGUCAAUAUAUGCAUAAUCUGAGUAAAAAUCAUUGACUUGCAGUGAAGUGGAUUCUCCAAUAUCUGUAUGAGAUAUUUGAUGUUGGGUUAUUGUUCAAGAAGGAUUGUAGUCAACAAUGUGUUGGGUAUUGUGAUUCUGAUUUCGCCGGCGAAGAUCAACAAUGGGCUACAUAUUCACAUUGUGUGGAGGUCUGAUUAGUUGUAGGUCGAUUCUACAGUCGACAAUUGCUCUUUCCACUACGGAAGCAGAGUACAUGGCAGCAACUGAGGCUGUAAAAGAAGCUAUUUGGUUGAAAGGCUUGUUACGAGAUUUGUGAAUGAUUCAUGAGAACAUUGAGGUCUUCUAUGAUAAUCAAAGCGCGAUAUUCCUAGCGAAGAACCAUACAUAUCAUGCUCCAACAAAGCACAUAAAUGUGAAAUAUUAUUAUGUGAGGGAGGUUAUCGAGAGCAGUGUUGUGUUGUUGAAGAAGAUUGAUAUCAAAGAUAAUCCAUCAGGUAUGUUGACAAAGGUGAUUUCAGGAGUUAAGUUUCAACAUUGCUUGAAACUAAUUCAAAUCUUUCAAAUGUGUUGAGUUUGGGAAAGUUUUUGAACUACGGUUGGCUUGAUCCCAGAUUAUGGGUACGUAGGCAGUCAUAGAGAUGCAGUCGCUUUAAGGAUGAUGGUUCACUAGUAGUUGGCUUAGAUUUUAUCAAAAUUUUCACCGAGGUGGAGAUUUGUUGAAGUCAGAAAAUAAAAUGAAGACUUUUUUUUUUCCAAAGAAUAGAAUUUGUCAAUAAACUUGAUAAAUUGGUACAGAUUGGAUAAUUUGUCAAUUAACUUGGCAAAUUGGCCAAAGCAAAACUUAACACCUUGACAAAUAGCAGGGUUGGUGCAAUAGUGCCAUUGUUUUUCCUAUAAAUAGAUGGCACUUCUUCCAUUCUAAGCAUCCCAAAAUUUGAGAGAUUAAGAGAAAUUGCAAGUGAAGCAAUUCUAGAGUUUUAAGAGUGUGAACAAUUGGAGAAUGUGUGUGAGAGUGCUUUAGGUGUAUUUGGGUUUUGGGAAGUGAGGUUUCUACUCAAAUAUUGUACUCUAAUAAUUGUUAGUAAUACAAUUAUUUUUCUCUUACUCCAGUGGACGUAAGCAUAUUGUUGAACCACGUAAAAUUCUGUGUCCUUUAUUUUUCUUGUGAUUGUUUGGUGCGCUUUAUUCUGUAUUCCGCGCACAACAUUUAUAACUGUAACAACAUAUAAUCUUAAUGUAUGUUAUCACUAUUUAUUUAAUUAACUAUAAUAUCAUAUAGUGUUUAUCGAAUCUGCAGAUAUCUGCAAGAGAAAAUGAUAAGAUUUUCUUAUUUGAGGAGUAUAAAAUUAAAAUACUGUUAGGAAAGUGUAGCACUAUUAUUUUAUACUUUUCUAAUAGUUACAAUUGAUUUAAAAAAGGAUAGUGUUAUUAAUUAAGUCAUAAAUACGAUAUUUGAUAACAUAAAUACUGGAAUCACGUGAAGUGAUUGAAAGAUAUUGUAUUCCUUUAAUAAUUAAUAUAAAAGGAUAUCAAAUCUGAAUGAACCAAUGCUCCCCCGUUAUUCUCUCAAUUGAAUCAUAAGGCGCGAAUCCGUUUUCCACUAAUCUACAAUUAAACAUAAGCCGAUCGUCGUCUAUUUCCCGCAAGCUUGUCACUAUCGGCUACUUGAAUUUAUAUAUUUAUUAUGCUCAUUAUAAACAUUAUAAUUAUUGCCGAUAAACUACUGUUAUUGCCCCAAGGUAAAGGAAUAUAUAUAUUGACUUUAGAUUACAACAACUAAUACUAGAGUCAACUAAUACUGUUAUUGCCCACAAAGUAAAGGAAUUUAUAUACACACACGCACAUAUAAAUAUACACCUAAUAUUGUUAUUGCCCACAAAUUAAUGGAAUAUAGUAGCUCUAUAAACUAAUAAUCUCUAUUAUAUAAUAAUUUUUUACAGUUACGACUUAAACCAAUGGACCAAAUUAACAAUUUCGAUAUUAUAAGAUAAUACUUUUAUAUACAGAAAUUUUUCAAUCCAAAAUUUUAAAGUGCAGGAAAGUCUAGGAAAACUUUAAAACCGUGCAGUUUUAAAGCUUAAUUUGAAAAUGCUAUUAAACAACAUCGUUUUAAAGCUUUCUUGGAUUUUCCGGGACUUUCAAAUCCCAAAUCAGAAAACUAAUAAGUCCGGGAAAGUUAUUGAACAUAUGAUUUAUUAGUAUAAUCAUUAUGUUAUUGAUAUAUAGAUAUCCUUUUUUUUCUUAGAGGCUUUAUAUAGAUUGGGACUUCAAAAUGUCGUGAAGUGAUUAAAAAUGGUGUGAAAGGCUUUUACACAAUUAUGAAGUCUCAAAUCUGCACGACAAUCCUUGCACGUGUCUACGCCUGAGUGUGCAUAUGUGUGUCCUUUUCCCUCGCGGACGACCGCAAGAAUUUUCGUGUAGAUUUGAGCGUUCACAACAAAUAUAGGACAAUGUAAAAGAUAAAAAAAAUACAGAUUUCAUUACACUAAGGGACAAAAUACAUCACAUUAUAUUGAAAUAUAUAGCUUUUUGUCUUUUAACUUGUACUUUACUUUGAUAUGGUAACAAAUUCACUUAUAUAUUUUAUAUUUGAGUAAGGAUCAAUGGCCCCUUAAAAUUACAUUUAUUUUUACAUCAUUUAUUAGUCCUUAGAUUUGUAACUAAUGGGUGACUUGGAUUAGGUUGAUUUAGUAACAUAGAUAUUUAAUAAUAAUUUAUUAACGGUAUAUAAUUAGUAAUUCUUAAUUAACAUUUCUCUCUCAUAAAUAUUUACUUUCCCUCCAUAGAAAAAUCAUUGAUUUUUAUUCAAGCCAAUAUUAAUUGAUCCACAAUUCCAUAGACAACUAAAAUUUUAGAUCAAUAAUGGCUGCUUAAGCUUACAUAAUAUUUGUGAUUUUACUUUUUACAAGCUCGCAUACGAAAUGCAGCUUUUGCCUUCUAAGGUUUCACUGUGUUCAAUUUUACAAUAAUAGAGAUUGAAAGCAAAUAGUUUUUCUUCAAACAAAAAAAGGCAUAAAAGACUAUAUAUUUUUGAAGCAAUUCGUAAUUUUUCUGUUUUUCUCUGCAACAAGCUUUUGUUAUACUGUUAAAUCGUGAAGAAGAUGACAAGAGAGAUUAAAGAAAAUGAAUUAAGGAGCGAGUAAAUUGGAGAGAAUAAAAUCUAAGCCCAAAAAUCAAUAUUAUUAAUUAUUUAUAAAUAUAGUCAAUAUAAUUAAUUAGAUCUAAUCCUAGCCAUUGAUUAAUUAUAUAUUCAGAGGUCAUAAAAUAGUGUAAAAGUAAGUGUAAUUUAAGGAUGUUGAAUCAUAAACUUGAUCCAAGAUAAAAAUUUUCAAAACCCAAAUUAAUAAGCCCAAUCCAUGGAAGGUUCCAUGAGCAGGAAUGGUUGGUGAGAUUUGAAUUAUUUGUGUUACGUGUAAUAGGUUUGGUAGGUGAAGAUGAAUGAUUAUUAAUUUUUUGUAAUUUCUUAUUUGAAUGAUUUAGAUUUCUUCUCAUGUACUAUAAAUACCCCCUUGUAUCAUUUGGUUAUGUAUCAAGUGAAGUAACAAAAUCUCUAAGUUGUAGAGAGUGAAAAAUAAGAGUUGUAGUUGAGGAGUGUUGUUGAAGAAAUAAAAUAGUGUGUUUUUUAAGUGUUGAUUUUUAAAAUUCUCCAAUAAAGUGAUAUCAGAGCUAGUGUUCAAUACUAUAUAUAGUCGUAUAGCAUAUCAAAUCGAAGAUCUCAACGAGAGGAACACGACGCCACAAAAAUAGCCCGAUCGGAGACCAAAUACGACCACACUCGCCGCAGGAAUUUUUCUGUCCUGAAGUUGAGUCAACUCACUGAGUUGAACCAAGCCAAACCGAACCAAACCAAGCCAAACCGUACCGAACCAAGUUGAACUAAGCCAACCCGAUCCAAACUGAUCCACCCCGAGCCGGACUGAGCCAAGUCAACUAAGCAGAAACAUUGACCGUUGACCGUUGACUGAAAGUUGACUCGAGUCCAUCCCAAGGUUUUUCGACGUUUUGGAUUCAUAUGUGCAUUCAAAAUCUCCAUAUUCUCGCUCAAUUUGUGAAUUAUGGAAAAUGGUGGCAUGAUGCCAUUCUAAGUUCCACAAUUAAAAAGAAGUAAGUUCGACAACUACAGUAUUAAAAUGAAGGCUUUAUUGGCUGCACAUGACAUAUGGGAUAUCGUGGAGAAAGACUUUAUUGUGCUAGAAAAUGAAGCUACUUUAACCGUGGCGCAAAAGGAGAUUUUAAAAGACUUAAAGAAAAAAGAGAAUAAAACAAAGUAUCUCAUCUUUCAAUCAUUAGAUGAAGAUGUUUUUGAAAAGAUUGCUGGUGCAACCUCUUCAAAAAAAGCAUGCAACCUCUUCAAAAGAACCAUGGGAGAAGCUAGAGACCUCUUACAAAUGAGCAGAGCAAGUUGAGAAGGUUCGUCUCCAAACAUUACUAAAAGAAUUUGAGUACUUACACAUGAAGGCAUCAGAGUCAAGUUUUUACUACUUUACUCGGGUUGUGACCGUUUCCAAUGAAUUAAAAAGAAAUGGCAAGGUGUUAAAAGAGGUAAGGAUCAUUGAAAAUAUAUUUCGAUCAAUAGACUCUAAGUUUGACCAUAUUGUUGUGACAAUUGAGGAAACAAAAGAUUUGAAUGAUAUGACGAUCGAGCAACUUCAAGGAAGGUUGCAAGCCUAUUAAGAAAAACUGAAAAAGAAGCAAAGAAUCGAAGAACAACUUCUCAAGAUGGAAGUCAAUCAAAAGAAAAGAGGAGAAAGCUCCGACAACGAGAGAAGGCAAUAUGUUCGAGGUAGAGGCCAAGGACAAGGUAGAGGUCGUGGUCAAGGACGAGGUUGAAAUUUCAACAACAACAACUCCAAUUAUGCCAAAGGAGAAAGCCAACCAAAGGACGAGGCGAAGGCAAUUCAAGAUCGAGGUAACAUGUUAAAUCUAUAUUAGUUCCUCUAGGAUACCAAAGACCGAGAUCUAUGGUUCCACUCAAAUAACGAAAAAAGUUUUUUACAAUAAGCAACUGAGAUUCUUUAGGAUAUGAUUGAAAUCUUGCACACAAGCACACACUAAACAUUUUGAUAUCAACUUCUUUACCUUUUUCAUUUUUGUCAAGCUUGGUUGUUGUGCUCCUUGGAGUACUUUUGGUCUUUGAGUCAUCAAUGUCAAAUCUCUUGAGUAGGUAUUUCACAUACUUGGCUUGAUUUAUGAAAAUUCCUUCCUCAUUUUGUUUUAUUUGCAGCCCAAGGAAGUACUUCAACUCUCCCAUCAUACUCAUUUCAAAUUCUUUACUCAUACAAGAUGAAAAUUCUUUACACAACAAUUCAUUAGUAGAACCAAAGAUAAUAUCAUCAACAUAAAUUUGAACAACAAGUAUAUUUUGGUUCUUAUGCUUAACAAAGAGAGUAGUAUCCGCUUUACCUAUUGAAAAACCGUUAUCCAACAAGAAAUUUUUAAGCCUAUCAUGCCAUGCUCUAGGUGCUUACUUUAAUCCAUACAAUGCAUUUGACAACUUGUAAACAUGAUUUGAAAUUUUUCAUUUUCAAAAUUAAGGGAUUGUUUCACAUACACUUCUUCCAUAAUAUAACCAUUUAAGAAAGCACUCUUAACAUCCAUUUGAAAUAAAAUGAAAUCCUUAUGACAUGCAAAUGCUAAGAGCAUCCUAAUGGAUUCUAGUCUAGCUACAAGUGCAAAUGUUUCAUCAAAAUCAAUUCCCUCUUAUUGGUUGUAACCUUGAGCCACUAGUCUAGCUUUAUUCUUUACAACCACACCAAAUUCAUCCAUUUUAUUUCUAAAUACUCAUUUAGAGCCUAUAAUGAAUUGAUGUUCUAGUUUAUGAACUAAUUCCCACACAUUGUUUCUUUCAAAUUGAUUUUACUCCUCUUGGAUUGUCGUACUCCAAAAUUCAUCAUUUUCUACAUCCGCAAAAAAUUUUAGUUUAAUUUGAGAUAUGAAUGCAGCAUGCUCACAAGUAUUUCUAAAUGAUAAUCUAGUUGUUAUGCCACGUGAGGGAUCUCCUAAAAUUAAGUCUUUAGGGUGAGAAGAAAUAUACCUCCACUCCUUAGGGAGUGAUUGAGAAGUACCUUCAUUUUACUCUACAUUUGUUUCUUCAUGUUGCUCCUCUUGAUUUCCAUGUGGUGCAUCAUUUUGGUUAUCCUUUGAUGACUCUUCUUGCAGAGGAGGGGUUAGAUUAAUCAAACGUAACAUGCAUAGAUUCUUGCACAACUAGAGUUCUUUUGUUAUAAACUCUAUAAGCUUUGCUUGAGUUUGAAUACCCAAGAAAGAUGCCAACAUCGGAUUUUGGAUCAAAUUUGCCAAGAUUAUCCUUUGUGUUCAAAAUAAAUCAUUUGCAUCCAAAAACUUUAAAAUAACCAAUGUUGGGUUUUCUAUCUUUCCAAAGCUCAUAUGGUGUUUUAUUGAGAUGAGGUCUAAUCAACACACGAUUUAAAACAUAACAAACGGUGUUGACGGCCUCGACCUAAAAAUACUUAGGCAAAGAAAAUUUAUUCAACAUGGUUCUAGCUAUUUCUUGAAUCGACCUAUUCUUUUUCUCAACAACUCCAUUUUGUUGUGUACUUCUAGGUAAUGAAAAUUAAUGCACAAUGCUUAAAUUAUUGCAAAAGAUUUCAAAUGCAUGGUUUUCAAACUCUCUUCCAUGAUCAGUCCUAAUGCAUGCAAUACCAUAUCCUUUUUCAUUUUGAACUUUCUUACAAAACACUUUAAAAGCAUCAAAAGUAUCAUCCUUAUUAGCUAAGAAUAAUACCCAUGUGUAUCUAGAAAAAUCAUCAACAAUUACAAAAGCAUGAUACUUCUCACUCAAGCUAGCAUACCUUGAAGGUCCAAAUAAGUUUAUGUGAAGUAGUUGAAGAGGUUUUGAAGUAGAAACAUGAUUUUUGCUUUUAAAAGAGGUUUUGAUUUGUUUACCAAAUCGGCAUGCUUCACAAAAUUCUAUCUUUUUGAAAUUUGAUUUUUGGAAGACCUUUAACUAAAUCAUUUUUGGAAAUCUUUGAGAUUAAAUCCAUGCUUGUAUGUCCUAGUCUUCUAUGCCAUAACCAACUAUCAUCAUGCAAUACAGAAAAACAUUUAUCAUGUGUAGAUGCACAAUCUAUAUCAAUGGUGUAAACAUUUACAUAUCUAUUUCCUACAAACAAUAUCUUGCCCUCACAUGCAUUUUCAAUAACACAUCUAUUCUUAUAAAAAAUAACUUUAUAACCCUUAUCACACAAUUGACUAAUGCUAAGCAAAUUGUGUUUCACGUUUUCAACCAAACACACAUUUUCAACAAGAGUAGAGGAUAUAUUACCGACAUUGCCAAUAUCAAUGAUUUUUCCUUUUGAAUUAUUCAAUGAACUUAUUAUUAAAAAUCUUUUGUUUCUUUUAUCAACCUACUUCCGACGUUCCGUUUUGUAACUUAUGUAACAGAACAGCAAGCUACUGAUAAAUAAGAAAUGAGGGCACCAUCAUUGAACCAACCACAUCAUGAACUAAAUGCACACACCUAGUUAUUAAGAGAAGCAUCCCACACCACUCAAGAUGACUUCCUAGUCACUGUUAGCCACUUGAAUUUACAGAGGUCAGAAAAUAGUGUAAACGUAAGUGUAAUUUAAGGAUGUUGAAUCAUAAACUUGAUCUGAGAUAAAAAUUUUCAAAACCCAAAUUAAUAACCCUAAUCCAUGGAAGGUUCCAUGAGUAGGUAUGGACUGUCAGCCACUUGAAUUUAUAUAUUUAUUAUAAACAUUACAAUUAUUGCCAAUAAACUGUUAUUGCACAGAAAAUAAAGGAGAAUAUAUAUAUAUAUAUAGGGAAAUUUUCCAAUCCACGAUUUUAAAGUACAAGAAAGUUUUAAAAUUAAUAUUGUGCGAUUUCAAAGUUUAAUUUCAUAAUGCUAUUAAACAUCACGGUUUUAAAGUUUUCCCGAUUUUUCCUACACUUUAAAAUCUGUGUGUGUGUGUGUGUGUGUGUGUUGUAUGUCUGUCUGUCUGUAUGUAUGUAUAUUAGAAAUGUUCUAAUUUAGGAUCCUGAAUUUUGUUAAAGUUGGGUAAAACUAUUAAGGCAUAUGAUUUAAUAGUAUAAUGAUUAUAUUAUUAAAUUAUAUUUCUUAAUAUAUUUUUCAAACUUUAACAAAGUUCAGGACUUUGGGCUAGAUCAAUACUAAAUCCAAAAUCCUUUUUGCUUGUGGGCGUCAUGCAGAUUCAGGAUCUAACAAUGGUGUGAAGGCCUUUUGAACCAUUAUGAAGUCUCAAAUCUGCACGAAUUGUUGUGCCGAUGUCUGGCCUCUCUCUCUCUCAUUUGAGCUUUCACGGCUUUAUAAAAAACUUUUACAUCAUUAUGAAGUACCAAAUCCGUAAAAAAAUUCGUGCAGGCAUCUUCACUUGAGAGUUUUCCUAUAUAGAGCAAUUUUAAAAUGAAAAAAAAUCUUACCAUGUUAAAAGUAAGGCAUAAGGUACAAGAAAAAAAAACACAAAUUUUAAUAUACUGUUGGACAAAAUGCACUCUAUUGUGUUGAAAUUUGUGCUUUUUAAUUUUUUACCUUGUCCCUUACUCUAAUAUGGUAACAAAUUCACUUAUCUUUGAUAUAUGUACGUACACACACACACACACACACACAUAUAUAUAUACAUAUAUGUAUAUAUUACAGCACCUAAAACUAGAAUCACCUAAAACUGUUAUUGCCCGCAAAUUAAAGGAAUAUAUUUGUGGUGUCAAAGCAAAUACAAACAAAUUAUUGUAGCCAUCAUGUGAACCAUUGAAAAUGGUUUAUGAAAACAGCCACAUUUUGGCAGUUCUGGCCACAUUUUCAAAAUUAAAUUAAUAACUUUUUGUAAAAAAAAGACUCUUAUUGCUAAUAGUUUGUCUUGGAAUUACAUACGCCCCAAUCACCCACCUUGGCACUCUCGUUUACUUCAUUCUCUAUAUAUACCCCCCAUGCGUAUCAUAUUAAACCAUAAUCAAGAACUUGCAAAAGCAACUUCAUUACUUUGUAAUUUUGAUUCCGAAGUGAAUAUCUUUUCUGAUUUGAAGAUUAUGGAAACUACCUGCGCAUGUUUUUAGGUAAUUUCAGUUGAAUAUCAUUUAUAAUUCUUAUUUUAAUAUAUUUAUGAUUAAUUUUUUUGUUAUGAAAUUUUUAGGUAAUAACGAUUGGUCGGAGGUUAUCAUCUUUAUACUAUUUCCUCUUCUUAGUACUGCUGAUGAUGACAAUGUGAAUGACAAUCUUGAUCUUCUUGUUGUCCCUCAAUAUGGGAGAAACCUUAACUACACUAGUUAAUUACACUGUUACUCUUUUGUGUUAUGUUUAAUUGAAUAAAGUGAUGGGUACUUUUACCUAUUGUUCUGUCAAUUAUGUGACUGUCAGUUUGGUUCAAUUCAACUAAUAAAAUCUCUUGAGAUAUAUAAGAGAUUUUAUUUGUCUAUUUACGUGUAUCAUGUAUUCCUGAAAAAGGAAAUAAAUAAAUAAAUAUUGUUGCUUGUCUAUGUGUUAACAUUAAUAAAGUUUGUUUAUCCUUGUUAGCUUAAUUAAGCUAAUACUUCUUGAUUAUCUUUUACUAAAACAAACUCCAAAUGAUGGUUAACUAAUUCUUGGAGCUAGCAAGUGAUCUUGGAUCAUAAUUUAUUAAAAUACACAAUGCAUGUAAAUUUAUAAGUUUUGUAAAGUAACCAGUGAAAUCAAUUCAAUGACUUCGAAACGACUUGAGGGAGUGCGUUUUGGUGUUCAAAUACAAUACUUCUAAAACGGUGUCUUGGACUGCCGUUUCAGGAUUAAUGAAGCACAUGAGACGCACGUGAAUGGGAUUCUAAUAACAAGGCUGUUAAAAGUUAUUGAUGAAGCAUGGCUCUCACGUGUGCAUCUGGAAUUAGUUUCCAGGUGGUUAUCAGCAACUGAAAGGAGCCGAUUCUUGUGCAGCAAGCUGGGGACGAACAAAUGAGUAUAUAAGGGGGUUAACCUCUCGAGAGAGGAUAUGUAGUUCCAUGAAAUAUACUUUGUAAUUCUCUGUAACUUUGGGUUCAUUCAAUAAAGGCCUAUUGUCUUGUUCCUCUGUGGAUGUAGGCUAAUGUGAAUUAGCUGAAUCACGUUAAACCACUCCUGUUCUUUAUUCUUUCUGUUUGAUUGAUUCUUUAUGUCUUUAAUUUUUUGUGAUUCUUAAACCAUUGUUGAUUUGUUACUCUGGGUUCUUGGUUAAGUUUCUUCAAGUCAAUUAGUGAAGCAUCUAGGAGUCUGGAUCAAAGAUCUUGGGCAGAAACUCAAGGUGUAAAGCCACGAAGUGGCCUUCAGUUUCUACAAUUGGUAUUAGAGCAGGGUUUCUUUAAUCAGAUUCUAGUAUGGCUAAUCCUAAAGUUGAUCUGGAGAAGUUGACAGGCAAGAACGACUUCAAUAUGUGGAAAGUUAAAAUAGAGGCUCUACUAAUAACUCAGGGACUAGGAGAUGAUUUAGAACCAGUCACCAAGAAAGAGGGAAUGGAAGCUUCAUCGUCACUAACGCCACAACAGGCUGCUGAUAUAGAUUAAAGGGCAAGAAGCACAAUAAUCUUGAGUCUUGGAAACUCUGUUAUUAGAGAAGUUGCCAAAGAAAAGACAAUGGCUGAUUUGUGGGCAAAACUAGAAACAAUCUAUAUGACAAAGUCUCUUGCCAACAGACUUCAUAUCAAGAAAAGGAUGUUUACUCUAAAGAUGGCAAAUGGAUCUUCUCUUGAUGAUCAUAUCGAUGAAUUCAACAAAGUGUGUGACACUUUGGAGACCAUUGAUGAAAGCCUCAGUGAUAAAAGUAAAGCUCUGCUCUUGGUAAGCUCACUUCGACAAUCAUAAUCUAAUUUUGUGGAUGCCCUAAUGUAUGGGAGGCAGACUUUGUCCUUGGAUGAGGUAAAGGUAACCUUAAAUACUAGAGGGUUGUAAGAAAAAUCUGUGAGUACAGAAAGUGGAGUUUGGUUAACAGUAAAGAGGAAGAUGGAUAAGAGUAAGAAUGCAGCAAAGAAUCAGAAGUAGUCUAAGUUAAAAACCAAGCCAAAAGAUUUAAAAUGCUUCCAUUGCCAUAAGGAAGGACAUUUCAAGAAGGAUUGCCAAGAAUUUAAAAACAAGAAAAAUGAGAAAAUUGGGAAUGCAGCUACAGCUGAAGAAAAUGAUGGCUAUGAGUCAGCAAGUGUGUGUGUGUUGCUACUGAGGAUAUGCAAAAGGGUAAGUGGAUUCUUGAUUCUGGUUGCACUUUUCAUAUGAGUCCAUACAAGAGUUAUUUUUCUGAUUAUCAUGAAUUUGAUGGAGGAAGAGUAAUGAUGGGUAAUAAUUCAAUGUGUAAAGUCAUUGGGAUGGGUAAAAUUCACCUUAAGCUGCAUGAUGGGUCCAUAAAAGAAAUUAGCCAAGUUAGAUACAUUCCAGAACUUAAAAGGAAUUUGAUUUCUUUAGGAAUGAUGGAUCAAAUGGGAUGUAGCAUUAAGCUUGAAGAAGGAGAGUUGAAUAUUCUAAAUAGAUCCACACUGAUUAUGAAAGAAACUAGAAAGAAUGGGGUUUAUGUCUUAGAUGGGGAGUCUGUAACAGGGGUCUCUAAUGCCAUUGAAAGCACUGACAUAGACAAAACUACACUAUGGCAUUUAAGGCUUGGGCAUAUGAGUAUCAAAGGUCUGAAAGAACUUAAAAAGCAAGGUGUUAUGGGGAGUGAUAAGAUUGGGGAGCUAGUUUUCUGUGAAGAAUGCAUCUUAGGUAAAUCUACUAGGAAUAGCUUCCAGAAAUCAAUACAUAAGACCACUGAGAUCUUGCAAUAUAUACACUCAGACCUUUGGGGUCCAUCUCAGGUUCCAUCUCUGGGUGGGAAUAGAUACUUUAUUACCAUGAUAGAUGACUACUCUAGGAGAGUGUGGGUGUAUGUUCUGAAAAGUAAAGAUCAUGUGUUUGGGAAAUUUAAAGAGUGGAAAGUUCUGGUAGAAAAUCAAACUGAAAAAAGGGUUAAAAAACUAAGGACAGAUAAUGGCCUUGAAUAUUGCAAUCAAGAGUUUGACAGCUUUUGUACAAAUGAAGGGAUUGCAAGACAUAGAACAGUAAAGUUAACCCCACAGCAAAAUGGCCUAACCGAGAGGAUGAACAAGACUUUAAUGGAUAAAGUCAGAUGCAUGAUGAUACAGUCCCAACUUCCUAAGGGGCUAUGGGCAGAAACCUUGCUGACAGCCCGUCUUUUAGUAAAUCUUAGCCCAUCUGCUGCAAUUGACUUUAAAACACCAUUAGAAAUAUAGUUUGGAAAACCUGGUAACUAUAUAGACUUUAAAGCUUUUGGAUGUGAUGCUUAUGCACAUGUUAAGCAAGGGAAAUUAUCUCCAAGAGCUCUGAGGGGGAAGUUCAUUGGGUAUCCAGAUGGUGCAAAGGGUUACAAGUUAUGGUGCACAUAUUUAUCCCCACCAAGGUGCAUCAUCAGCAAGGAUGUGAUCUUUAAUGAAGAAACUGUGCUCAGCAAAAAGCCACAAAACAAUGAUGCUGAACCUCAGGCUAAAACACUUGAGAGUAUACAGUUUGAGGUGGAGCAUCCAAAUAAGAAGUCCUCUCAAGAAGCUGCAGAUUCUGAUGGAGGUGAAGAUGACAGUAGCGGAAACACUAAGGCACAAUCUCAAAGACUACCAUCUGACCAGAGAUAGAGAGAGAAGACAUAUAAGACCUCCACAAAGAUAUGGUUAUGCUGACCUCAUUGCAUAUGCACUGGCUGCAUCACAUGAGAUUGAUGAAGAUGAGCCAACAAGCUAUAGAGAGGCUAUAAAGAGUACAUAUAAAUCAGAGUGGCAAAAGGCUAUGAAUGAUGAAUUAGACUCACUAUACAAGAACAACACCUGGGAUUUGGUAAAGAAACCUGAGAAAAGAAGGAUUGUGAGGUGCAAAUGGAUUUUCAAGGUGAAAGAGGGGCUGACAGCUGAUGAGCCUAGAAUAUUCAAAGCUAGACUUGUAGCAAAAUGGUAUACACAGAAGGAAAUAGUUUAUUUUAAGGAAGUCUUCUCACCAGUGGUCAGACAUGUCUCAAUAAGGGUACUAUUAGCUUUAACAGCUAUAUAUGACAUGGAGCUUGAUCAACUUGAUGUCAAAACAACCUUCUUACAUGGGAGACUACAAGAGGAGAUUUUGAUUACUCAACCUGAGGGAUUUGUGUGCUCUGAACACCCUGACCAUGUAUGCUUACUGAAGAAGUCAUUGUAUGGCUUGAAGCAAUCCCCAAGGCAAUGGUAUCUCAGGUUUGAUGAGUUCAUGGUUUCACAUGGAUUCAUGAGGUGUAAUUUUGAUUGUUGUGUAUACUAUAAGCAAAGUAAUUUUGAUUGUUAUGGAUUCAUGAGGUGUAAUUUUGAUUGUUGUGUAUACUAUAAGCAAAUAGAUUCAGAUCAUCACAUAUACCUGCUACUGUAUGUGGAUGAUAUGUUGAUUGCUUAUAAAGUGAGGGAGGAAAUCAAAGCCUUAAAACAGAUGUUGAACUCUGAGUUUGAUAUGAAGGAUUUGGGACAUGCCAAGAAGAUUUUAGGCAUAGAAAUCACAAGAGAUAGAAGGAAGGGAACUAUGUUUCUAUCUCAGAAAAAGUACUUGGAGAAAGUGCUCAACACCUUUGGGAUGAACUACUGUAAACCAGUGGUAACACCUCUGGCCUUUCAUUUUCAACUCUCCAAUCAGCAAUGUCCAAAGAUAAGUGAAGAAAAGCAAGAGAUGUUAAAAGUACCUUAUGCAAAUGCAGUGGGGUGCAUGAUGUAUGCUAAGGUCCUCACAAGACCAGAUAUUUCACAUGCUCUAAGCUUGAUAAGCAGGUACAUGGCAUCACCUGGAAAAGAGCAUUGGAAGGCAGCUAAGUGGCUGCUGAGAUAUCUGAAUGGAACUUUGGAGUAUGGACUGUUGUAUGGAAAGGAUCGAGAGAUAAAUGAAGCUGGUUUAUGGGGCUAUGUUGACUCUGAUUAUGCUGGAGACCUGGACAGGAGGAGGUCACAAACUGGAUACAUGUUCAUGUUGAAUGGAUGCCUAAUUAGCUGGAAAGCAAGUCUGCAACAUGUAGUAGCCUUAUCAACAACAGAGGCUGAGUAUACUACAGCCUCAGAAGCUAUGAAGGAGGCUCUAUGGCUUAAAGGCUUGGUCAGUGAGUUGGGAAUACCUUAUAAGGUUGUUGACAUCCACUGUGACAGCUCAAGUGCCAUUUAUUUGAGCAGAAAUCUAGCUCAUCAUGAGAAAACCAAGCAUAUAGACAUUAAGUUGCAUUUUAUAAGAAAUGUAAUAUCUAAGGGAGUUGUGAAGUUGGUAAAGAUACAUACCAGCAACAAUCCUGCUGAUAUGCUUACAAAGGUGGUACCUACAGCUAAGUUCAAGACCUGCUUGGACAUAGCUGGGAUAUGCAGUUUUUAACUUGCAUGGAUUUGAGGAGAAAUAUGAACAGGGAUGAAUUGUUUCAAGGUGGAGAUUUGUGAAGUAACUAGUGAAAUCAAUUCAAUGACUUCGAAACGACUAGAAGGAGUGCGUUUUGGUGUUCAAAUACAAUACUUCUAAAACGGUGUCUUGGACUGCCGUUUUAGGAUUAAUGAAGCACAUGAGACGCACGUGAAUGGGAUUCUAAUAACAAGGCUGUUAAAAGUUGUUAAUUAAGCAUGGCUCUCACGUGUGCAUCUGGAAUUAGUUUCCAGGUGGUUAUUAGCAACUGAAAGGAGCCGAUUCUUGUGCAGCAAGCUGGGGACGAACAAAUGAGUAUAUAAGGGGGUUAACCUCUCGAGAGAGGAUAUGUAGUUCCAUGAAAUAUACUUUGUAAUUCUCUGUAACUUUGGGUGCAUUCAAUAAAGGCAUGUUGUCUUAUUCCUCCGUGGAUGUAGGCUAAUGUGAAUUAGCUGAACCACGUUAAACCACUCAUGUUCUUUAUUCUUUCUGUUUGAUUGAUUCUUUAUGUCUUUAAUCUUUUGUGAUUCUUAAACCAUUGUUGAUUUGUUACUCUGGGUUCUUGGUUAAGUUUCUUCAAGUCAAUUAGUGAAGCAUCUAGGAGUCUGGAUCAAAGAUCUUAGGAAAAAACUCAAGGUGUAAAGUCGCGAAGUGCCCUUCAGUUUCUACAAUUUCAACCUUUAAAAUAGUCAUGCCGUUUAGUACGCUUGGGCUAAUCAACAUAAUCUUCAGCCAUAAUCACUGUUAAUUUGUUAAUUAUUUUGUUAAAUAAUGCGAAGUUACAAAAUUUUGUCUCUGAAUGUAGAGUUAAAAACCUUUCGUUAUAUAUAUGAUCCCAUCAUCUUACCAUUAUUUGUAAAUAAUUACGUAGAGCAUCUAUUAAUUAAUGGAUUGAAACAAUAAAUAACUUCAAUUUAAGAAUAAAAACCUCAAUUUUAAACUGUCAAUGCCGGGAAAUUAAAGAAAUAUAUUUAUUGAGUCAAGAUUAUAUAUCUUCAAUUUUCUUUUAAUUUACAAAAUAUUUUGGGCACUGAAAAAUGUUUCAGAAAAAUAACAAAAUUUCCAAAUUAAAACAAUAAUAUUUUGAAACAAAGGAGUCUAUUUUUGCUAUUAUAUUAUCUUGUAAUUACUUACUCCCCAAUCACCCACCUUCACACUCUCGGCUACUUAAUUCCUUACAUAUACAUUACAUGUAUAUUAAUCAAACCAGAAGAAGGAAGUCGAAAAGGCAACUUUAAUUACUUAGAAAUUUUAAUUCCGGAAGUCGAUUUCUUUUCUGAUUUGAAGAUUAUGGAAAGAUUAGGAUUUUCUCCUUAUCUGAGCUCUCUUGAGCUUUAAUAAUCUUAUAUUAUAUGUCAUUUAAUAAUAGUGGAUGGAUAUGAUUUAACUUCUUAUUUAUUUAUUUAUUAAUCAUCAAUCAGCUCAUGAAUUUCUACUUAAGAGAAGUUCAGGUAAGGAGAGGAUCAACUUUAGUUGAACUUUAUUAUUUAAUCGUUAUUUUAAUAUUUGUAUUCAUGAUUAAGUUUUCUAAUAUGAAUUUUUCACGUAUAAUGAUUGGUGGAAGAGGAUCUUCCUAAUAUUUCGUCAUCUCAGUACUGUUGAUGAUGACAUUUGCACAAUCUUGAUAUUCUUAUUAUCUCUCAAUAUAAGAGAAAUCUUGACCAUAUAGGUUAAUUACAAUGUUACUCUUUCUAUGUGUUAAUUACAAUGUUACUCUUUCUAUGUUACGUUUAAUUAAAUAAAAUGGAGAUUGCCAAUUUUUGCCCUUACUAAAAUAAAUAUAUAGCACUUACGCUACUACUGUUUCAUAGUAGUCAAUAAUCCCCAUGGCAACAUAAUUUUACUAUAUCACCCUUAUUUACAAAUACACUUCUAUUUAUACUUGUUAUAAAUUAAAUAAUUCUUGUCAAUAUAAAUUAAAAAAAUAUUGAGUAUUAAAAAUAAGAAAUAUAUGUUUUGAAGUAAAUAAAUAAAUUAAUAUUAAGAUAUUUUUCUUAUACUUUUUUGUUGUUUUAUAUAUUUAUUGUAAAAUAUAUACUUGUUAUAAGAUUUUUUUUACAUAAAAUAAUACAAGAAAAAUAUCGUAUCAUACAUGUUUCUUAUUUUUAAUACUUAAAAUUUUUAUUUUAAUUUCUAUUUAUAUGAGUUAUUUAAUUUAUGAAAAAUAUAAAUAAAAAUGUAUUUGAAAAUGAGGGUAAUACUGUAAAAUUAUACUGUGAAUAAAUAGUAUAUAUUAAUUUCAAUUGGGGAGAAAUUGACAACCUCCCCCCAUCUCAUUGAUACAAUAAUUUGUAAUAAAUUAAAGGAUAAUUGAAGAUAACACACAGUUAAAAUGACUCGACAUAUACAUUUCCUUUAAUUUGUUGGGAAUAAUAGUUUAUCGCCCAUGACUAGUAUAUUUGUAUAAAACAGAUUAAUUGUCCAUGUCUGAAGAUCAUGGACAGCUAGCACAUAUCAUCAUUCAAGAUCAGUAUCAAAAUCAACAAGAUUACAAUCAUAAAUUAAGAGGCUACUUAAUUCAUUCAUUCAGGUUUAAUAUCCUUUUAUAUUAAUUAUUAAGCAAAUAGUCAAAUAAAAUCUCCUUCAAUAUCGCUUCACGUGAUUCUCUCGUAUUAGGUGUGGUAAAUGGUAAUCCAAAGUCAAUAUCAUAUUAUUUUACGUUACCAAGUUUCGUAUUUGUGACAUUGCGAUUAAUAAAAUAUUAUCAAACCUCAAUAAAUAAAUCAAUUAUUAAUUUAGGAAGAUAUAUUGCUUAUUUUGGAAAAUAUGAUCAGAUUUGUAGUAUUAAUUUUACCUUAAUCUUGUAUUUAUUAUGUUUUAUUUGAAUCUUAGAUAGUAGUCUUACACCCGGAAUAACAAUUUUCUUCAUUGUUUGUAUCUUCCUGCACCCAUUGCGUUUUUCAUGUUGGAAAAGAAGCAUUAACAAAAAGAUACUUCCCACGGAACCAAAUUCAGCUUUAAAAAUUGGAUUAAUUUGGAUCAAACUAAGCUACAAAGAAAAACAAAAUUGAUUAAUUUAGUUACUCUGUCCGUAAUAAUAUGUGGAGAAGAAGAUUUAGUUGGUCGCCAAGACGAUGAAAUGCUCGAAUUUGAUUAAUGAAGGAGGAUUCGAGAACUCCAAAGAGGAAGAUCUCAAAAAAACAGAAAUCUGCAGCAAAGUGGACGAUGUUUUUUUUUUUUUGAAAAGAAAGUACGCCUUUCAUUGCCUCAAGAAGAGAACAAAUACAAGAUUUCAACUGGAAAUUCAUCCAGCCAUAUACAUGAUUCCGACUUCCUAAGAGCUAACUUAGCUAGGUCAUGAUCUAAAGUAUUACAAGUCCUCCCUACAUGCUGAGCUUUGAAAUUCUGGAAGCUCUUCUUGGCUUCUAGAAUGUCAAAGAUCACCCAAAAAAGCUCUGUUAAGGUGCUUUGCUUGCUGUUAAUUAGCUCUAUCACCCUCUUUGAGUCGGAUUCUAAAAUGAUUGAAGAUGCCCCCGCCUUAAUAGCUGCUUGAAUUCCCCACAAAGCAGCCUUUGCUUCAUACAUCUCCACAUCUCCAAAGCUUUUGACAGUGUUUACUGCUGCAACAACCACUUCACCUCUGUAAUUCCUGAUCACAGCCCCCAAACCAGCAAGAUUAUUUUGCUCAUCCAUUGCGGUAUCCACGUUAACUUUGACGCAAUCUUCACUAGGAGGACUCCACUGGCUUUGCUGUAUGCUUGUCAAUUCCAGUGAGAAAUUGUGCUCUGGUUGCUUUAGUCGUUUGACAGAAUCAGCUAUAGACAUUGCUUUGGCUAUCAGUCAUGAUGGAUCUUCACACUUCCCCUUAAACAACCAGUUGUUCCGAGCAUUCCAAAUGACCCACAAAAAGGAUGCAACUAGCUCACCAUUUAGAUUGCUAUGGUGUUGAUAUCAGUGAUGAAGCAAAGUAAUAACAUCAGGGAAAUUUUCAACUUUCAGAUCAAUUCCCAGGGAGGAGUAUCUCCACACUUUCCUCGCAAAUUUACAGAACAAUAAGGCAUGAGCUGUGCUCUCUAUCUCAUUCUUGCAGAUUGGACAAGUUGCCUCUUGCAUCACUCUUUUCUUCCUUAAAUUUUCUGCUGUGGGAAGAAGAUUCUUUGCCGCUCUCCAAAGGAAGAUCUUAACUUUUUCGGGGACCAUCAACUUCCAAAUGAUAUUCCAUUGGCUGGGGUUUUGAUUUGAGCAACUGGGAAUGUCCUGGUGCUUUUGCUUUAAAGCUAGCUGGUAGCCACUUCUAACUAAAUAGUUCCCUCGCUUAUCAUAAUGCGAAAUUAGAGUAUCUCCAUUUUGCUGUCUAGGGAGAGGGAUAUGAAUAAUUAUUUUAGCAUCAUCUUUACCAAAAUGUUGAUAGAUUAGCUUUUCCUUCCAGCAAUUGUUGUCAUCUAUAAGCUCCGCCACAGAGGCUUCGUUUGGCAAAUUUGGGGAUGAGAUGGGUUUGAAGGUUGUUGGUCUAGAAAUCCAUCUGCCAUUGAGGAUAUUUAUCUGUUGCCCAUUACCGACUCUCCACCUGCAUCCAUUCUUCAACACUUCUCUUCCCCAAAGAAUGCUUCUCUAAAUGUAAGAUGGUUUAGAACCCAAAUUUGCCUCUAGGAAAGAUGAAUACUUAAAAUAUCUUGCCUGUAGGAGUCUGGCCACUAGAGAACCUGGAUUUUAGAUGAUCCUAGAGAACCUGGAUUUUGGAUGAUUCUCCAGCCUUGUUUGGCCACGAGGGCCUGGUUGAAACAUGAGAGAUCUUUGAACCCCAAAACUUCUCUGAUUUUAGCUUGGCACAAAUUUUCCCACCUAGACCAGUAGAUGUUUUUUUUCUCCUUCGAUGAGCACCACCAGAACUUGGCUAUUUCCUUUUGCAUAUCGUCACACAAUCCUUGAGGAAGCUUGAAAACACUCAUAGCAUAAGUGGGAACCGCUUGCGCCACUGCUUUAAUAAGGAUCUCUUUACCUCCACAUGAGAAAAAAUUUUACUGCCAGCCCGAAAUCUUACUGAGCACCCUGAGCUUUAUCUCGUUGAAGAAACCCUUAGUCCUUUUCCCUAUCAUUGAUGGAAGGCCAAGAUAUGUUUCGUGCUUAGAGACAACAUUAAGCUGAAAAAUCUGUUUUAUUGCUGCUACAUGUUCCGGCUUUGUGUUGCUAUUGAAAAACAUGGAUGAUUUUUCCAUGUUAAAAAUCUGACCCGAAGUGUGAGAUAGACAAGUCUUUGCCUAGCAUUCAAGCACCCUCUUUAGAUUUCUACAUUCGUCAACCUUUGCUCUAGCAAAAAUUAGACUGUCAUCAGCGAACAAGAGGUGUGAGAUAGACAAGUCUUUGCUGAAAUUUAAACCAUGGAUAAGCUUUUGAUGCUCGGUCUGUCUAAUCAGAUUGGAAAAAGCUUCAGCACACAUAAUAAACAGGUAUGGAGACAGUGGGCAGCCUUGUCUAAGGCCCCUUUGCGGAUAAAAUAAUCCUUUUGCCACCCCAUUUACAAUAACAGAGAAGGAGACUGUAGUAAUGCAAUUCAUGAUCAGAUCAACCCAUCUCCGUGAAAACUCCAUUCUCAGCAUAAUUUGUUCCAGAAAAGACCAUUCCACCAUAUCAUAAGCUUUGCUGACAUCUAGUUUAAGAGCCACCAGCCCAUGAUUUUUCCCCUUACUAUGCCUUAUCUUAUGCAAGCAUUCAUAGCCUAUAAUAGUGUUAUCCGAGAUUAAUCUAUUCGGGAUGAAUGCACUUUGGGUUGGAGAUAUGAUGUAGUGAAGGAUGUGUUUGAGUCUGUUUUCAAUUGUUUUGGCAACUAUUCGGUAAAUAACAUUGCAAAGGCUUAUGGGUCAGAAAUCGGUUACUCUCGAAGGUUUUGACACCUUAGGGAUUAAUGCAAUAUGUGUAUGAUUUAAAGGGGCAAUGUCACCUCUACUGUUUAGGAUAUGAAGACAUGUGUUUAAUUAUAACUCUAUACUCGACCAAAUGCCAAUGCUUCUGAUAAAAGGCCGCAGGCAGCCCAUCCGGUCUCGGCGCCUUUGUAGGACUCAUUUGAGAUAGGGAUGUGUAAAUGUCCUCCGCUGAGAACAGGCUGUCCAACUGUUGAUUCAUUUCAUCUGUGACUGUUGGGGCUAACUCGCCAAGGGCAGCUAAGAUGUGGUCUGAAUUAGGAUUGGAUGUGGUGAAUAGCUCGGCAAAAUAAUCACAAAAUUGUUUGUCCACCUCUUCCUCAUCUUCCACCCAACUCUUCUGCUUGUUCAUAAUUCCCCAAAUUCUGUUUUUUUUUUUCUUCCUUGACAAAGCUUUUGCAUGAAAGAAUUUGGUGUUUCUAUCUCCUUCCUUCAGCCAUUCAACUCUUGACCUUUGUCUCCAAUAAAUCUCCUCAUCCAUCCACAAAUUCUCAAUUCGCUUCUCUAAGCCACUAUCUCAUUGUCUUCUUCAUAAUGCACUUGAUUAAGCUUCAUCUCCACCAGCCUUUUCUUCAGCUGCUCCACUUUUUUUCUUUCUAUCACCAAAAUGUUGCCUUUUCCAUAACAAUAGCCGAGCCAUUGAGUCUUUUGUUGCUUUGUUGAAACAUUGAACCAGAUUAUUUUUAUCCCAACAAACCUUCGUUUCCCACUCUUCUUGAACAAUACACUUGCAAUCUUCAUAGGGGCUCCACAUGUCCUCAUAAUGCAGCCUACAUCUCCUUCUUCGUUGAAAAUUCACUCCCCUGAUUCUGGUUUGCACUUUCAGCAUAAUUGGGUUGUGGUCCGAGCACCAUGUAUCUAGAUUAUAAGCAUCCAGUUCAGUCAAACCAGCUUCCCACUCCUUCGACCCAAAAAAUCUAUCUAAUUUUUCUUCAACAAAAUAUGGUCCAAAUCAUCUAUUUGACCACGUAAAAGGGUACCCUCUAUACUAAAUGUCAGCCAACUUGCACUCCCUCACUGCAUUUCUAAACUCAGCCACCAUACUUAAGUUUCUAUCAUUCCCACCCAUUUUUUCAUUGGGGUUUAAGAUUUCAUUAAAAUCUCCUAAACAAAUCCACGGGUAUGUGAACAGACCUGCAAGUCUUUUAAGGAGUGUCCACGUAUGUCUUUUUUGCUCGGCCUCAGGAUGCCCGUAGAUACCCGUGCACCUCCAUUGCUUUCCAUCUACCUCUCUGACAAUAGCAUCAAUGUGAUGGCUACUGUAAGAGGCAAUCUCCAAGUCCAAAUCCUCAUUCCAAAGCAUUGCCAAACCACCCCUCAUGCCACUUCUACCUACAACAAAACAAUUAUCUAACCCCAGCCUUUUCCUCGUAUUCAUCAUGUGGCCAUACUUCAAUUUCGUUUCACAAAGAAAAAGAAUUCGAGACUGAUGUUUUUGGAGAAUGUCUUUUAAUUCAUGGAAUGUUCAGGAAUUCCCUAAACCUCGAACAUUCCAACUUAAGAUACUCAUUGAUUUCGGCAGGGUUGACCACCAGCCUCCGCCGAUAAUUCCUCCAUAACUGGUUCGGACACCUCCAUGAGUUCCAUAGUUGUUGCUUCCCAGCUGAGUUUGAGAGUUUCUGAGAGAGGCUUAGUUGGGCUAACAACCAAGACUUCUUUCACAGUCCUUGCUGUUUUGGCUUUUUUCUUUUUUGGACUAGCCCUCAUCACCUCGCUGCAUAAUCGUUUUGAUACUAAAGUCCUAGCUUUACUAGAUUUUUUGUUUGUGUCACGGGCUUGAUUUUUCCAUCUUUUCCAUUUGGGCCUCGAUUUGUUUGCCUCCAUCCCAUCGUCUACAACUUCUUCCUUUGAGCUCAUUUGGGUUGUGUGCAUUUCAUUUGCCCCUUUUUCUUCUUUGCCCGCCAAGAUUUCUUUCCCCUUUCCAUUUCCCUCCAAUUUUUCCUUUUCUAGCAAAUUUCUCGCCUUUAUGUCCUGCAUUCCUAUUACAUCAUAAAUUUCAGCUGCACCGUGCAGCUUUUUGUCAUUGGGUUGCAUCAGCUUCUUUUUGCUUCCUUCAAAAUUAUCAGCAGUCACAAUACCCUUAUCCACGUGUCCCACCCUUAUUAGCCCUCUUUCCCUUUCCGUGCUUUCUUUAUUCAAUGUGGAUCCGAAUUUAUGACCCACAUUUAAGCUGGGUGAACCCGGGUUUGAGAUUUCUGCACUAUCCGAUUCUGGAACUUCUUCUCUAGAUUUCUCGUGCUUCUUACUCUAUUUCUCCCUUGCUCUGUUUAGCUUGGUUCUGUCUGCUAAUGAUACUGCUUUUAACCAUGGUCCGAACGGCAAGUUUUUUUUCUGCUGGCCUUUAUACUCCAUACAUUCUCUGAACUGGUGUCCAAUGCAUCCACAACAAAAGUAGAAGUAUGGUAAUCGUUCAUACACCACAGGCAAAUGGAUGUCCUCUUCAUCUUCUUGCUUUAGGACUAUAAGUUUCUUUAAAGGUUUUGUAAUAUUCACCGAGACUCGGAUACGCAAAAAUUCCCCAAAGCAUUCACCCUGUGCAUCCAUGCCUAUAUCUUCCACCUUUCCAACCCUCGACCCCAGCUCUCGGAUUAUGCUAGUAUCCAUGCACAUCAAUGGCACAUUAUGGAUUUGAAUCCAGAAAGAGACAUGAGAAAAAGAUUAUUUUUUGAUACUACCAAUACCCUUUGGUUCUUGGAGAACCAUCAAGGCUCUAUCAAAGUGCCACGGUCCUCCAUUUAAGACUCUCUUUUUAUCAGCUUAUGAGAGAAACUUAAAAACAAAUAUGUUGCUACCUAAGCUUUCUACCUUGAAAUCAUGAACAGUACGCCAAGCUUGGUCCAAAGUUGUUUUGAGUCCUUCACGAUUUACCCCUCUCGCAAGAAGAAUUUUUCCCAUAAGACAACCAGCAAUUGCUUUGGAACCCUUUUCUUUCAUCUGGCCUGCAAAAAUAAAUUUGUCUGCUUCCUCUCCUUCAAGUGUUAUGGCUUGACACUUCCAUAUUAACUCUUCCGUUUCCAUCUCCAAGCCAUUAGCCCACGAUAUUUAUUGUAGUAUUUUGGAUUUUUCUUUGAAAACCCUCACCAACCCCUCCUGACCUUCCGAGGAGGAUUUUCAAAAAGCAAAAAGCAAUUGAAAGCUUCACCCACCCCUUUGAGAUAAGACAAAGGAAGAAGAAGACAAAAGAAACACCUAACACUCCUUAUGAGUGAUACUCAAGGCCAUGAAGGCCUGAUGUAGCUACCAUUCUACCUUUCCUCACUUCAGAGAAAAGAAAGAAGGAGAAAAAAUAACCAACUUGCAAAGUGGACGAUGUUAAAUUAAGAAAUGUUAUUAUAUGUAGAAAAAGGAAAAGGAAGAAAACUAAAAAAAAAUAGAUUUUUUUUUAAUUUUAAUUAUAUAUUUUGAUAAUAUAUAUGUACCAGAGAGAGAGAGCUCAUCUUCUUUGAAAGGAGGGGGAGGAGGAAGAGCUCUGGUUGAUCUAUUGUCAUGAUCACUUGAAACAAAAACAGAAGAAGCUGCUCUGCUUUGAGAUGUUGAUCUCAUGCGAGACCCCAUGAACUGAGACAAUUCUUCAAAUACUUCUUCAUCAAAUGAAGCUGGCAGCCUGUGUAAUUUCCUCUCAUAUGGAGAGAGUCUGAAGUAACUCUUACCAACUUGUUCUCUUUCACCGCCUCUCUCCCAUUCGUAAACCUUUCUAAAUUCACCCAACAUGUUAUCCCACUUGGUCCCAGAUGUUUUAGCAUCUCUAUUCACUCCAUGUCUUUGCAAGAACUCUGCAACUUCUCUGUCUUUAUCAGCCCUAGUUUUUGCUCUCGUUGAUUGGGCAGCAGCAGCAACUUCUCCCUGACCAGUACUCUCUGGCUGAUGAUGAUCAACUCUUGAGGAAGAUCCAGAGCCGUUGGAUCCACCACCACCUUGGUACUGAAUCCUCCAAGCCCUAGCUAGCCACAGCAUCUCGUUUGGUUUCCAAACUGGGCUUACAUACUUGCCUUUUCUGAACUGGGGGUGAAAUUGCUCACCCAGUAAUUCUGGCCUGUUUGUCUCUUGACCAGAAGCUGCUGAGAGAGAAGGAAUAGGUGAGUGAGGAGGAGAUGAUGCUGUGUCUGAAGAGGAAGCCGUGGUGGUAUGAGCUUGGCUUUGUGGGUUGGUUAUUGGGAGUGUGGUUGGUGAUGGGCUUGAUUCUGUGGUGAGUAUAGCCAUUUGGGCUUGUUGCUUUUGUUGUUGCUGUUGAGAUGGUGAUGGUAAAAGCUUCCAUUGGCUGCUAUUAUAUCGUUGCCUUUUGGGAUUUACUGGCUCAAAUUGUUGCUCAAAUGGAGAGGAAGAAGUUGGACCAAUAGGAACAUACAAAGGAGCAGAGAUGUACGGAGCUCCGGUGACCACAACUGCCGGCGGCUGUUGGUGAUGGUGCUGGCCUUUUUCAGUUGACUCCUCAAGUGGAUUUUUCGGGGAGGAUGAAAGUUGUUGCUGCUGAGGUUGCUGUUGCUGCUGCUGCAGCUGUUGAGGUUGUUGUGAUUUUUGCUUCUUGGUUGUAUCUCCUUUGUUGUCACCCAUCUCAAAAGGGUCCAAAAAAAAAACUUUGUUUUUGUGAAUAGAAAUUAAAAAAAGAA